AGCGGGAGGGUCACCUAGCGGCGCAUCAAGGACAUAAGCCUUUUUAGCUGCUUCAAGGAUGAGCUUCAAGUUGUGAACCCAGUCCGCAUAGUUGCUACCAUAAUCUUUCAGCUUGUUUUUCUCUAGGAAUGCGAUGAAAUUGAGGUUGACGUUGGCCAUCUACAAUAUUUAUAAAGACAACUUUUAGACUAAGUUCAUGACAAUUAAGUUCAUUUAAUCAAAUUAAGUAUGAACUCCCACUUAAACCGAGAUCCCUCUAGUCAUCUAAGUGAUACAUGAUCCAUGUUGACUAACCCGUGUCCGAUCAUCACGUGAGACAGACUAGUCAUCAUGGUGAGCAACUCAUGCUGAUCGUAUUCAACCAUACGAAUCAUGUUCUACCUUUCAGUCUCUUGUAUUCGAGGUCAUGUCUGUACACGCUAAGCUCGUCGAAUCGACCUAGGUGUUUCGCGUGUGUAAAUCUGGCUUACACCCGUUGUAUGCGAACGUUAGAAUCUAUCACACCCGAUCAUCACGUGGUGCUUCGAGACAACGAUCCUUCGCAACGGUGCACACUUAGGGGAAUACGUUCUCGAAAUUUUAAGAGGGUGUUGGAAAUAUGCCCUAGAGGCAAUAAUAAAUUAGUUAUUAUUAUAUUUCUUAGUUCAUGAUAAUCGUUUAUUAUCCAUGCUAUAAUUGUAUUGAUUGGAAACACAAUACUUGUGUGGAUACAUAGACAACACACUGUCCCUAGUAAGCCUCUAGUUGACUAGCUCGUUGAUCAAAGAUGGUCAAGGUUUCCUGGCCAUAGGCAAGUGUUGUCACGUGAUAACUGGAUCACAUCAUUAGGAGAAUCAUGUGAUGGACUAGACCCAAACUAAUAGACGUAGCAUGUUGAUCGUGUCAUUUUGUUGCUACUGUUUUCUGCGUGUCAAGUAUUUGUUCCUAUGACCAUGAGAUCAUAUAACUCACGGACACCGGAGGAAUGCUUUAUGUGUAUCAAACGUCGCAACGUAACUGGGUGACUAUAAAGACGCUCUACAGGUAUCUCCGAAGGUGUUCGUUGAGUUAGUAUGGAUCGAGACUGGGAUUUGUCACUCCGUGUGACGGAAAGGUAUCUCGGGGCCCACUCGGUAAUACAACAUCACACACAAGCCUUGCAAGCAAUGUAACUUAGUGUAAGUUGCGGGAUCUUUUAUUACGGAACGAGUAAAGAGACUUACCGGUAAAUGAGAUUGAAAUAGGUAUACGGAUACUGACGGUCGAAUCUCGGGCAAGUAACAUACCGAAGGACAAAGGGAAUGACAUACGGGAUUAUAUGAAUCCUUGACACUGAGGUUCAAACGAUAAGAUCUUCGUAGAAUAUGUAGGAUCCAAUAUGGGCAUCCAGGUCCCGCUAUUGGAUAUUGACCGAGGAGUCUCUCGGGUCAUGUCUACAUAGUUCUCGAACCCGCAGGGUCUGCACACUUAAGGUUCGACGUUGUUUUAUGCGUAUUUGAGUUAUAUGGUUGGUUACCGAAUGUUGUUCGGAGUCCCGGAUGAGAUCACGGACGUCACGAGGGUUUCCGGAAUAGUCCGGAAAUAAAGAUUGAUAUAUAGGAUGACCUCAUUUGAUACCGGAAGGUUUUCGGAGUUACCGGGAAUGUACCGGGAAUGACGAAUGGGUUCCGGGAGUUCACCGGGGGGGGGCAACCCACCCUGGGGAAGCCCAUAGGCCUUGAGGGUGGCACACCAGCCCUUAGUGGGCUGGUGGGACAGCCCAAAAGGGCUCUAUGCACCAAGGAGAAGAAAAUCAAGAGGAAAGAAAAAAAAGGAGGAGGUGGGAAGGAAGGGGGACUCCCUCCCACCAAACCAAGUCCAACUCGGUUUGGGGGGGGAGUCCUCCCCCCCUUGGACUCGGCCGACCCCCUUGGGGCUCCUUGAGCCCCUAGGCAAGGUCCCCUCCCUCCCACCUAUAUAUACGGAGGUUAUAGGGCUGAUUUGAGACGACUUUUCCACGGCAGCCCGACCACAUACCUCCACGGUUUUUCCUCUAGACCGCGUUUCUGCGGAGCUUGGGCGGAGCCCUGCUGAGACAAGGUCAUCACCAACCUCCGGAGCGCCGUCAUGCUGCCGGAGAACUCUUCUACCUCUCCGUCUCUCUUGCUGGAUCAAGAAGGCCGAGAUCAUCGUCGAGCUGUACGUGUGCUGAACGCGGAGGUGCCGUCCGUUCGGUACUAGAUCGUGGGACUGAUCGCGGGAUUGUUCGCGGGGCGGAUCGAGGGACGUGAGGAUGUUCCACUACAUCAACCGCGUUCACUAACGCUUCUGCUGUACGGUCUACAAGGGUACGUAGAUCACUCAUCCCCUCUCGUAGAUGGACAUCACCAUGAUAGGUCUUCGUGCGCGUAGGAAAUUUUUUGUUUCCCAUGCGACGUUCCCCAACAGUGGCAUCAUGAGCUAGGUUCAUGCGUAGAUGUCUUCUCGAGUAGAACACAAAAGUUUUUGUGGGCGGUGAUGUGCGUUUUGCUGCCCUCCUUAGUCUUUUCUUGAUUCCGCGGUAUUGGUGGAUCGAAGCGGCUCGGACCGACAUUACUCGUACGCUUACGAGAGACUGGUUUCAUCGCUACGAGUAACUCCGUUGCUCAAAGAUGACUGGCGGGUGUCAGUUUCUCCAACUUUAGUUGAAUCGGAAUUGACCGAGGAGGUCCUUGGAUGAGGUUAAAUAGCAAUUCAUAUAUCUCCGUUGUGGUGUUUGGGUAAGUAAGAUGCGAUCCUACUAGAUACCCAUGGUCACCACGUAAAACAUGCAACAACAAAAUUAGAGGACGUCUAACUUGUUUUUGCAGGGUAUGCUUGUGAUGUGAUAUGGCCAACGAUGUGAUGUGAUAUAUUGGAUGUAUGAGAUGAUCAUGUUGUAAUAGAAAAUAUCGAUUUGCACGUCGAUGGUACGGCAACCGGCAGGAGCCAUAGGGUUGUCUUUAUACUAACGUUUGUGCUUGCAGAUGCGUUUACUAUUUUGCUAGGAUGUAGCUUUAGUAGUAAUAGCAUGAGUAGCACGACAACCCCGAUGGCAACACGUUGAUGGAGAUCAUGGUGUGGCGCCGGUGACAAGAAGAUCGUGCCGGUGCUUUGGUGAUGGAGAUCAAGAAGCACGCGAUGAUGGCCAUAUCAUGUCACUUAUGAAUUGCAUGUGAUGUUAAUCCUUUUAUGCACCUUAUUUUGCUUAGAACGACGGUAGCAUUAUGAGGUGAUCUCUCACUAAAAUAUCGAGACGAAAUUGUGUUCUCCCCGACUGUGCACCGUUGCUACAGUUCGUCGUUUCGAGACACCACGUGAUGAUCGGGUGUGAUAGACUCAACGUUCACAUACAACGGGUGCAAAACAGUUGCGCACGCGGAACACUCGGGUUAAGCUUGACGAGCCUAGCAUGUGCAGACAUGGCCUCAGAACACAUGAGACCAAAAGGUCGAGCAUGAAUCGUAUAGUUGAUAUGAUUAGCAUAGAGAUGCUUACCACUGAAACUAUUCUCGACUCACGUGAUGAUCGGACUUGAGAUAGUGGAUUUGGAUCAUGUACCACUCAAAUGACUAGAGAGAUGUACUUUUUGAGUGGGAGUUCUUAAGUAAUAUGAUUAAUUGAACUAAUUGUCAUGAACAUAGUCUAAUGGUCUUUGCAAAUUACGAUGUAGCUUGCGCUAUGGCUCUACUGUUUUUAUAUGUUCCUAGAGAAAAUUUAGUUGAAAAUUGAUAGUAGCAAAACUUUGCAGACUAGGUCUGUAAAACCGAGGAUUGUCCUCGUUGCUGCGCAGAAGGAUUAUGUCCUUAAUGCACCACUCGGUGUGAUGCACCUUGAGCAUCGUCUGUGGAUGCUAUGAACAUCCGACAUACACGUUUCUGAUGACUACACGAUAGUUCAGUGCAAAAUACUUAAUGGCUUAGAAGCAAGGCGCCGAAAACGUUGUAAAACGUCACGGAACAUAAGUGAUGUUCUAAAGAGAUGAAAUUGUGAUUUCAUGCUUGUGCCCUUGUUAAGAGGUACGAGACCUCCGACAAGAUUCUUUGUCCACAAAGUAAAGGAGAAAGGCUCAAUCGUUGAAUGUGUGCUCAGAUUGUCUGAGUACGACAAUCGCUUGAAUCGAGUGGGAGUUAAUCUUCCAGAUGAGAUAGUGAUAGUUCUCCAAAGUCACUGCCACCAAGCUGUGAGAGCUUUGUGAUGAACUAUAACAUAUCAAGGAUACAUACAAUGAUCCUUGAGCGAUUCGCGAUGUUUGACACUACGAAAGUAGAAAUCAAGAAGGAGCAUCAAUAGUUGAUGGUUUGUAAAACCACUAAGUUUCAAGAAAGGCAAGGGCUAGAAGGGAUACUUCGUGAAACGGCAAAACAGUUGCUGCACUAAUGAAGAGACCUAAGAUUAAACCCAAACCCGAGACUAAGUGCUUCUGUAAUGAGGGGAACAGUCACUGAGGCGGAGCAACUCUAGAUACUUGGUAGAUAAGAAGGCUGGCAAAAGUCAAGAGAAGUAUAUUAGAUAUACAUGAUGUUGAUGUGUACUUUACUAGUACUCCUAGUAGCAUGAGGGUAUUGGAUACGGUUCGGUUGCUAAGUGAUUAGUAACACGAAAUGAAAGCUACGGCGUAAACGGAGACUAGCUAAAGGCGAGGUGACAAUACGUGUUGGAAGUGUUUCCAAGGUUGAUAUGAUCAAACGUCGCACGCUUCCUCUACCAUCGGGAUUGGUGUUAAACCUAAAUAAUUGUUAUUUGGUGCUUGCGUUAAGCAUGAACAUGAUUGGAUCGUGUUUAUUGCAAUACGAUUAUUCAUUUAAAGAGAAUAAUGGUUACUCUAUUUUCUUGAAUAAUCACCUUCAAUGGUUUAUUGAAUCUCGAUCGUAGUGUUACACAUGUUCAUAAUAUUGGUGCCAAAAAGAUACGAGUUAAUGAUGAUAGUACCACUUACUUGUGGCACUGCCGCUUGAGUCAUGUUAGUAUAAAUUGCAUGAAGAGGCUCCAUGCUGAUGGAUCUUUGUACUCACGUGAUUUCGAAUCACUAGUGACAUGCAAACCAUACCACAUGAGCAAGGCCUUGUUUUCAUUGAGAUGAAAUAAGAUAGUAACUUGUUGGAAGUGAUACAUUUUGAUGUAUGCAAUCCAAUGGGUACUGAGGCACGCAGUGGAUAUCAUUAUGUUCUUACUUCACUGACGAUUUGAGUAGAUACAGGAGUAUUUACUUAAUGAAUCACAAGUCUGAAAUGUUGAAAAGUUCAAUUCUGUUUCAGAGUGAAGUUCGUCGUAACAAGAGGAUAAACUGUCUACGAUAUGAUCAUAGAAAUGAAUAUCUGAGUUACGAGUUUUGGUACGCAGUUAAGACAAUGUGGAAAUUGUUUCGCAGUUCAUGCCACCUGGAACAUCAUAGUGUGAUGAUGUGUCUGAACGUCAUAGCCACGCACUAUUUGGUAUGGUGCAUACUAUGAUGUCUCUUAUCGAAUUACCACUAUCGUUUAUGGGUUAUGCAUUAGAGACAACCGCACUCACUUUAAAUAGGGCACCGCGUAUUUCCGUUGAAAUGACAUAGUAUAGACUGAGGUUUAGAGAAAUCUAAACUGUCGUUUCUUGAAAGUUUGGGGUUUCGAAACUUAUGUGAAAAAGUUUCAGUCUGAUAAGCUCGAACCCAAAGCGGAUAAAUGCUUCUUCAUAGGGUAUCCAAAACAGUUGGGUACAUCUCCUAUCUCAGAUCCGAAAGCAAAGUGUUUGUUUCUAGAAACGGAUCCUUUCUCGAGGAAAGGUUUCUCUUGAAAGAAUUGAGUGGGAGGGUAGUAGAACUUGAUGAGGUUAUUGAACCAUCACUUCAACCAGUGUGUAGCAGGGCGCAGGAAGUUGUUCCUGUGGCGCCUACACCAAUUGAAGUGGAAGCUGAUGAUGGUGAUCAUUGAGCUUCGAAUCAAGUUACUACAAACCUCGUAGGUCGACAAGGUCGCGUACUGCUGUUACGGUAACCCUGUCUUGGAGGUCAUGUUGUUGAGCAACAGUGAACCUACGAGUUAUGGAGAAAGCGAUGGUGGGCCCAGAUUCCGACAAAUGGCUGGAAGCCAUGAAAUCUGAGAGAGGAUCCAUGGAUGAAAACAAAGUGUAGACUUUGGAAGAACUACUUGAUGGUCAUAAGACUAUUGAGUAAAAAUGGAUCUUUAAAAGAAGACAGACGAUGAUGGUGAUAAGUCACUAUUAAGAAAAGCUCGACUUGUCGCAAAGAUGUUUUCGACAAGAUCAAACAGUUGACUAUGAUGAGACUUUCUCACUCGUAGCGAUGCUAAAGGUCUGUUAGAAUUAUGUUAGUUGUUGAUGCAUUAUUUAUGAAAUAUUGCAUGUAGGAUGUCAAAACAUUGUUUCCUCGACGGUUUCCUUGAGCAAACAUUGUAUGUGAUACAACCAGAAGGUUUUGUCGAUCCUAAAGAUACUAACAAGUAUGCAAACUCCAGCGAUCCUUCAAUGGACUGGUGCAAGCAUCUCGGAGUUGGAAUAAACACUUUGAUGAGAUGAUCAAAGAUUUUGGGUGUGUACAAGGUUUAUGAGAAACUUGUAUUUCCAAAGAAGUGAGUGGGAGCACUAUAGAGUUUCUGAUAAGUAUAUGUGGUUGACAUAUUGUGGAUCAGAAGUGAUGUAGAAUUUUUGUAAAGCAUAUAAGGUUGUUUGAAAGGAGUUUUUCAAAGGAAUACCUGGAUUGCGCUACUUGAACGUUGAGCAUCAAAGAUCUAUGGAGAUAGAUCGAAAGCGCUUAAUAGAAGUUUCAACAAGAUGCAUGCCUUGACAAAGUUUUUGAAGGAGUUCAAAAUAGAUCAGCGAAGAAAGAGUUCUUGGUUGCGUUGUGAGGUGUGAAUUUGAGUAAGACUCAAAACCCGACCACGGCAGAAUAAAGAGAAUAGACGAAGGUCGUCUUCUAUGCCUUAGCCGUAGAAUCUAAAGUAUGCCAUGCUGAGUACCGCACCUGAUGUGUGCCUUAACUCAAAGUCUGUUGAGAGGUACAGAAAGUGAUCCAUGAUUGAAUCACUGAUCAGCGGUCAAAGUUAUCCUUAGUAAACUAAGGAAUUUUUUCUCGAUUAUGGAGGUGGUUAAAGAGUUCGUCGUAAAGGGUUACGUCGAUGCAAGCUUUGACACUAAUCCGAAUAACUAUGAGUAGUGUAACGGAUUCGUAUAAUAGAGUAGAUAUUUGGAGCAUUUCCGAAUAGCACGUAGUAGCAGCAUCUAUAAGAUGACAUAAAGAUUUGUAAAGAACACACGGAUCUGAAAGUUUCAGAACCGUUGACUAAAACCUCUCUCACGAGCAAGACGUGAUCAGACCCCAGACAUAUAUGGGUGUUGGAUUCGUUGGAAUCACAUGGUGAUGUGAACUAGAUUAUUGAUUCUAGUGCAAGUGGGAGACUGUUGGAAAUAUGCCCUAGAGGCAAUAAUAAAUUAGUUAUUAUUAUAUUUCUUAGUUCAUGAUAAUCGUUUAUUAUCCAUGCUAUAAUUGUAUUGAUUGGAAACACAAUACUUGUGUGGAUACAUAGACAAAACACUGUCCCUAGUAAGCCUCUAGUUGACUAGCUCGUUGAUCAAAGAUGGUCAAGGUUUCCUGGCCAUAGGCAAGUGUUGUCACGUGAUAACGGGAUCACAUCAUUAGGAGAAUCAUGUGAUGGACUAGACCCAAACUAAUAGACGUAGCAUGUUGAUCGUGUCAUUUUGUUGCUACUGUUUUCCGCGUGUCAAGUAUUUGUUCCUAUGACCAUGAGAUCAUAUAACUCACGGACACCGGAGGAAUGCUUUAUGUGUAUCAAACGUCGCAACGUAACUGGGUGACUAUAAAGACGCUCUACAGGUAUCUCCGAAGGUGUUCGUUGAGUUAGUAUGGAUCGAGACUGGGAUUUGUCACUCCGUGUGACGGAAAGGUAUCUCGGGGCCCACUCGGUAAUACAACAUCACACACAAGCCUUGCAAGCAAUGUAACUUAGUGUAAGUUGNNNNNNNNNNNNNNNNNNNNNNNNNNNNNNNNNNNNNNNNNNNNNNNNNNNNNNNNNNNNNNNNNNNNNNNNNNNNNNNNNNNNNNNNNNNNNNNNNNNNNNNNNNNNNNNNNNNNNNNNNNNNNNNNNNNNNNNNNNNNNNNNNNNNNNNNNNNNNNNNNNNNNNNNNNNNNNNNNNNNNNNNNNNNNNNNNNNNNNNNNNNNNNNNNNNNNNNNNNNNNNNNNNNNNNNNNNNNNNNNNNNNNNNNNNNNNNNNNNNNNNNNNNNNNNNNNNNNNNNNNNNNNNNNNNNNNNNNNNNNNNNNNNNNNNNNNNNNNNNNNNNNNNNNNNNNNNNNNNNNNNNNNNNNNNNNNNNNNNNNNNNNNNNNNNNNNNNNNNNNNNNNNNNNNNNNNNNNNNNNNNNNNNNNNNNNNNNNNNNNNNNNNNNNNNNNNNNNNNNNNNNNNNNNNNNNNNNNNNNNNNNNNNNNNNNNNNNNNNNNNNNNNNNNNNNNNNNNNNNNNNNNNNNNNNNNNNNNNNNNNNNNNNNNNGACCCCCCCCCCCCCCUUGGACUCGGCCGCCCCCCUUGGGGCUCCUUGAGCCCCAAGGCAAGGUCCCCUCCCUCCCACCUAUAUAUACGGAGGUUUUAGGGCUGAUUUGAGACGACUUUUCCACGGCAGCCCGACCACAUACCUCCACGGUUUUUCCUCUAGAUCGCGUUUCUGCGGAGCUCGGGCGGAGCCCUGCUGAGACAAGGUCAUCACCAACCUCCAGGGCGCCGUCAUGCUGCCGGAGAACUCUUCUACCUCUCCGUCUCUCUUGCUGGAUCAAGAAGGCUGAGAUCAUCGUCGAGCUGUACGUGUGCUGAACGCGGAGGUGCCGUCCGUUCGGUACUAGAUCGUGGGACUGAUCGCGGGAUUGUUCGCGGGGCGGAUCGAGGGACGUGAGGACGUUCCACUACAUCAACCGCGUUCACUAACGCUUCUGCUGUACGGUCUACAAGGGUACGUAGAUCACUCAUCCCCUCUCGUAGAUGGACAUCACCAUGAUAGGACUUCGUGUGCGUAGGAAAUUUUUUGUUUCCCAUGCGACGUUCCCCAACAGAGGGAUCAUCUUAUUAUGGUACCGUCGUUCUAAGCAAUAAGAUGAAAAACAUGAUAAACAUCACAAUGCAACCAUAUAGUGACAUGAUAUUGCCAUUAUCAUCUUUGCUCUUUCGAUCUCCAUCUUCAGGCAUCGCAUGAUCAUCAUCGUCACCGGCGUGACACCAUGAUCUCCAUCAUCGUGUCUCCGUGAAGUCGUCACGCCAACUACUACUAUCACUACUACUAUAGCUAACCGUUAGCAAUGAAGUAAAAGUAGUAAGCACAUGGCGUUGCAUCUCAUACAAUAAAUUAAGACAACUCCUAUGGCUCCUGCCGGUUGUCAUACUCAUCGACAUGCAAGUCGUGAAACCUAUUACAAUAACAUGAUCAUCUCAUACAUCAUACAUGCAACAUCACAACUUUGGCCAUAUCACAUCACAUGUCAAACCCUGCAAAAACAAGUUAGACGUCCUCUAAUUGUUGUUGCAAGUUUUACGUGGCUGAUUUGGGUUUCUAGCAAGAACGCCUUCUUACCUACGUGACAGCCACAACGAUGAUAUGACAAAGCUAUUUACCCUUCAUAAGGACCCCUUUCAUCAAAUCCAAUCCGACUAGAGUAGGAGAGACACACACCCGCUAGCCACCUUUAUGCACGGUGUGCAUGUCUGUCGGUGGAACCAGUCUCACGUAAGCGUACGUGUAAAGUCGGUCCGGGCCGCUUCAUCCCACAAUACCGCCGGAAAAGAAUAAGACUAGUAGCAGCAAGCAAUUGACAAAUCAUCGCCCACAACCUUUUGUGUUCUACUCGUGCAUAGAAUCUACGCAUAGAAAACUUGGCUCUGAUACCACUGUUGGGUAACGUAGCAUAAAUUCAAUAUUUUCCUACGCAUAUUCAGAUCUUCCUAUGGAGAGACCAACAACGAGAAGGGGUUGAGUGCAUCUUCAUACCUUUGAAGAUCGCUAAGCGGAAGCGUUACUAGAACACGGUUGAUGGAGUCGUACUCGCGGCGAUUCAGAUCGCGCUGUGAUUCCGAUCUACUGUCGAACUACGACACCUCCGCGUUCAACACACGUGCAGCCCGGUGACGUCUCCCGCACCUUGAUCCAACAAGGACGAGGGAGAGAGUGGGGAAGAACUCCAGCAGCACGACGGCGUGGUGUCGAUGGAGAGAUGAGGCUUCCAGGCAGGGCUUCACCAAGCAUCGGCAGAGAGGAGGAGAAGGAAGGGCACGGCUGCGCCGAGGGAGAGGGAAAAGUGUGUACCCCAAUGGCCAAAAGUGCCCACUAUUUAUAGGAGGAGGGGACGGGGGGUGCCACCCCUAGGGUUCCCACCCUAGGUGGUGCGGCAGCCUCCCAGAUGGGAGGUGCGGCGGCCAAGGCAGGGAGGAGGGGUGGCGCACCCCUCUGGUGGGCCUUAGGCCCACCUGCGCUAGGGUUCCCCCCUCUCCCCUCUUCCUGCGCCAUGGGCUGAGUGGGGGGGGGCGCACCAGCCCACCUAGGGGCUGGUUCCCUUCCCCACUUGGCCCAUCUAGCCUCCCGGGGUCGUUGCCCCCCUUCGGUGGACCCCCGGAGCCACCUCCGGUGGUCCCGGUACGUUACCGGUGAUGCCCGAAACACUUCCGGUGUCCGAAACCAUCCGUCCUAUAUAUCAAUCUUUACCUCCGGACCAUUCCGGAGCUCCUCGUGACGUCCGGGAUCUCAUCCGGGACUCUGAGCAACUUUAGAUAACCUCGUAUAACAAUUUCCUAUAACCCUAGCGUCAUCGAACCUUAAGUGUGUAGACCCUAUGGGUUCGGGAGACAGGUAGACAUGACCGAGACACCUCUCUGGCCAAUAACCAUCAGCGGGGUCUGGAUACCCAUGGUGGCUCCCACUUGCUCCACGCUGAUCUCAUCGGAUGAACCAUGAUGUCAAGGAUUCAAUCAAUCCCGAAUAUAAUUCUCUUUGUCUGUCGGUAUAGAACUUGCCCGAGAUUCAAUCGUCGGUAUACCUAUACCUUGUUCAAUCUCGUUACCGGUAUGUCUCUUUACUCGUUCCGUAGCACGUCAUCGUGUGACUAACUCCUUAGUCACAUUGAGCUCAUGAUGAUGUUCUACCGAGUGGGCCCAGAGAUACCUCUCCGUCACACGGAGUGACAAAUCCCGAUCUCGAUUCGUGCCAACCCAACAGAUACUUUCAGAGGUACCCAUAGUGCACCUUUAUGGUCACCCAGUUACGUUGUGACGUUUGAUACACCCAAAUCACUCCUACGGUAUCCGGGAGUUGCACAAUCUCACGGUCGAAGGAAAAGACACUUGACAUUAGAAAAGCUUUAGCAUAUGAACAAUACGAUCUAGUGCUACGCUUAGGAUUGGGUCUUGUCCAUCACAUCAUUCUCCCAAUGAUGUGAUCCCGUUAUCAAUGACAUCUAAUGCCCAUGACCAGGAAACCGUGAUCAUCUAUUGACUAACGAGCUAGCCAACUAGAGGCUUGCUAGGGACACAUUGUGAUCUAUUUAUUCACACAUGUAUUACUCUUUCCUGUUAAUACAAUUAUAGCAUGAACAAUAGACGAUUAUCAUGAACAAGGAAAUAUGAUAAUAACCAUUUUAUUAUUGCCUCUAGGGCAUAUUUGCAACACUUUUUAGCCGGGUUGGGAGGCACCAGCCAAAAAACAAUCACACACAUGUGGGUGUGGCACAAAAGCACCGAGAAGUAUUAGUGAGAAGGAUUCUACAAAAUCAUGAAAAAAUAGCUAGCCCAUGGCUCCAUGACAGGUUCCACUAAAACGGUACUUCUUUCGUUCCGAAUUAGAUGUUGCGAGAACACUUUUUGCAAAAAGCAUGUUUUUCCUCCUUCCAUUUCUCUUCAUGUCGGCACCUUCUCCUCCUCUUCCUUGCCUCACAUUUCUCCCCUGCUCCUCGUCACCUCCUCAUCACCCCCUUCUCCUUGCUGGCUCCCUGCACUCUCCUUGUCGCACACGUCGGCAUCGCUGGAUCCACACUGCCUUUGUUGGAUGCAUGAAAAGGAUGAUUUUUGACCUUUUUUACUGACCCAACAACGACGAUUUUCAAUCCACUCACAGGGAAGCCGAAUCUGGUGGCGGCGAUGCGGUACUCGGCUUCCUGCCAGAUGUCACCCGGACGCGAGCACAUCUCGGACCCCUCCUGUGCUCCUCCUCCAUGCCUUCCUUCGACUGGUUGCCCAAAUCACCUACGGGAUGGCGCACAUCGCGACCACGCCGCUCUGAGUAGGGCCUCAACUACAAACUGCUAUGGUGAGCUCUUGUUCACCUCUAUUCCUCACCCGCGGUUGCUGUGAGUCAUGGCCAUCAAUCCACGACUAUGUCAUGUGUCUUCCUAUAGAUGCCAUGUGUAUCGAUGAGUUUUUUUGCCAAAAGUGUAUAAAUGAUUUUUUUGUGAAAUGUUAUGACACACCUAUUGUUGCUCGAUUGCUCAAUGUUCACUUUAGAUGGUGGUGACAUUAAGAAUAUACAUGUGCUAAGGUUUUUACCAUGGUUUGUAUCUUGCCAUGGAUGAAGCUAGGUUUACUUGAGUGCAUCAGCGAUAAUUGAGUAGGACUAAGAGUAUAAUUGAUGUUGCUCUACUCGCCUUAGGAUAUUGGUAUGCUAAUUGGGUCAAUCAUCCUUUGUAGUGUCGGAAUUAAUAGGGGGUCAUUUGGUCUUCUGUAAUGUCAACAUGGUCUUGUCAUAGCGCAUCUAGCGGGGUUGCAAACUAACUCAUGGUUUGGUCUCGGCAUGAUCAUAUUGCACGCUUAUGGACAUGGUAUGUGCUUGCUCCCGCACGAGUUGUUGGGAUUUGCCAAGUGUAAGGAUGAAGCGGAACAGUAGCAAGUAUUUCUCCCGGUUAGAUAAGCAAGGAUAUCAAUCAAGUAGGAGUCUCCCAGCUGACAAAGUCAACAUCACCUGCCCGCAAAACACACACUCAUCCCCCAACAUGACAAGAGGGUUGUCAAUCCCAUUUUUUCUAUUUACAUGAUUAAACACAAGUGAUAGAGAUAGUUGGUAGAAAACUAACAAGAUAACAAUAGCAAUAGUCUAGAAGAAUUCAGUAAUGGAAAAUAGACCCAUGGGCAUAGGUACACUAGUGGUAUCUCUAAAUUACAAGCAAAUGACAAGGCAAACAAAUUAUAGUUGGGCAACAUUUAAAUUUCAAUAUCUAUAACUACAAUCAUUCAUGGUAUAAUCUUGUAUAGGCAUUACGUCCGUGAUAAUUAGACCGUAUCUACUAUUAAUACUCCACCCCAAAACCAAUAUCUAGCAUGCAUUUGAAGGUAUUAAGUUUACAAGAAUUGGAGUAUCGUAAUAAACAAAAUGGCAUAAUAUAGGCACAAACAUAUCAAUCAAUAUGACAAAACCCCACCAUUUUAUCAUUAGUGGAAACAAUAAAAUACAUGUCUUAGCCCUUUUGUCACUGGAUUAUAUCAUCUCAAGACUGAACCCGCUGAAAAGCACAACUCCAUGUGAAGAAAAACCGCCUAAAACAUGACCAUAGAAGAUAGAUAGAUUGGAGAGUAUGCAAAGUUAUUUAAUUAUAAAUCAAGAAAACAUCAAAAAGAUUCAAUUGAUUUCAAUGAACAAUCUGAUCAUAAAGUGACAAUAUAUCAUAUCCCAACAAACGCACCAUCGAUUAUAUGGAAAUGAUCUUUAUCAUGUGAGGAAGCUCAAGGACACAUGGUGUUGAAGAUCCACAAAAGAGAGAGAGAGAGACAGAUGCAUGUUGCUACUACUAUGGACCCUAAGGUCCUAAUGGAACCACUCACACAUGGUCAUGGAGGCAGGAAGGAUGAUGAAUAAGACUCCAACAAUGGGCUUCCCCCUCUAACAGAGCUCCGAAACAGGCUUGCGAUUGGAUCUUUGUGAAACAGGAACUUGCGGUGGCGAUAGAGUUCUUCUAAAAAUACGGCAAAGGGUUUCGAUAUUUAUAGGGAUUUAUGGCAGUGGAACGGAGGUAAGGCGGUUGCUCUGGUCCCACAUGCCCUGGUGCCCUAGGUGUAGGGUGUGCCACCCGACCGUGUGGGCCCAUUGUGGCUCAUCUUCUUGUUCCCUAAAGAUUCCACGGUCCUUGGUUGUCUAGAAAAAAUCAUAAAAAUUGGAAUCUUGUUUAGACCUUCCUAAAUAUUGAUUUCUUGCAAAACUAAAAACAUGCAGAAAACAAGAAGUGACACUAGGAGGUUAGUCUAGAAAAUAGUAUAAGUUCCUAUAAAAAGUAUGUAUAUAAGUGAUAAUAUAAUAGCAUGAAAUAAAAAAUUAUAGAUAUGUUGAAACGUAUGAGACUCCAUUAACUGAAUUAGGUCAUGCUUUUGUCAUACUACAUAAUCUAAUUUAAUAGGAUAUUAUGUUAACUGAAUUAGGUCAUGAGCUAAUUUAACUCAGUUACUCAAAUCAUGUAGUACUCCUAUAUGAAUUACUCUCUGAUGUUAAACUUGAUGGAGCAUGAGAAAUAUUAAUUAGUUUUUGUUCAUUCACAUAAAGGAGAUGCCUUUACAAAGUUCGAUAUCGCUGCUACUGAGUGAUGUUAUUUUUCUAAACUUAGAAUUAGAUGUGUCACUCCGAGGAUAAUUAAGUGCGCGAAUUGAAUGAAUAAUGACAUGUCCCAAACGUAUAUACUUUUCGAAACACUUUUUAUUUUGUUUUGGAAUCUAAUUUACAUGAUUUGAAUGAAACUAACCUGGACUCGUGCUAUUUUCAACACACCUACGUUGGUGUACUUUUUGUGCACAAAUGAAAGUUCUCGGAAUUGGACUAAACUUUUUGAAGAUUUUUUAUGGAAUAUAUAAAAAAUAGUAAUGUAAAGAACCACCGGAGGCGGGCAGGAGUUUCCCACAAGGCAGCAGGGCGCACCCACUCCCCGGGCCCACUCUGAUGCUUUGUGGGGCCCACGUGGCUCCGCUGACCCUAAUUCCAAGCCUAUAAAUCCCUAUUCUCCGAGGAAAAAUAGUAGAGAAGUUUUCAUCGUGUUUUGCAAGAUGAAGUUGCCGCCACCUCCUAUUCUUCCUCGGGAGGGUUGUUCUGGAGUCUAUUUGGAGCUCCGAAGAGGGGGGUUCGUUUUUGUCGUCAUCACCAACCCUUCUCCAUCAGCAAUUUCAUGAUGCUCACUACUUGGAGUGAGUAAUUCCUUCGUAGGCUUGCUGGAUGAUGAUGGGAUUGGAUGAGAUUUGUCAUAUAAUCGAGUUAUUUUGAUAGGGCUUGAUCCCUAGUAUCCACUAUGAUCUAAGAUUGGUAUUGCUAUGACUUUGCUAUGCUUAAUACUUGUCACUAGGGCCCGAGUGCCAUGAUUUAAAAUUUGAACCUAUUAUGUUUUCAUAAAUAUGUGAGUGUUUUGGAUCCUAUCUUGUAAGUUGUAUGCACCUAUUAUGUGUCAUGAUCCGCAUACCCCAAGGUGACAAUAAUUGGGAUUCUUUUGUGUGAUUAUCGUAGUUUGAGAACUUCAUGUAUUCACUAUGUGUUAAUGCUUUGUUUCAGUUCUUUAUUAAAAGGAGGCCUUAAUAUCCCUUAGAUUUCCUUAUGGACCACGCUACCAUGGGAAGCGUAGGACAAAAUAUGUCAUGCAAGUUCUUACUAGAAGUACGUAUGACUAUAUAUGAAAUACAUUCCUACGUGACAUUGAUGAAUGUUAGUUCUGUUCGCUCUAGUGUGUAACUGUUACAUGAUGAAUGUCAUCUGAUAUACUUAUCCAUCACCGAUCCAUUGUCUACGCUUCUUGCAUAUUGAGCUUUGCUAAGUUAUUAUUGUUGUUGCUGCUAUUACAAUCACUAUAAACUAUUACUGUUACUCUUUCUAUUAAUAUUUUGUUGUGCUACUAAAACUUUGCAGUAGAAAGAGAUUCCACGCGUGGUUGAAUUAACAACUUAACUGCUAAGACCAAUAAAUAUUCUUUGGAUCCCUUUGUGUCGAAUCAAUAAAUUAGGGUGUAAUACUAUUUGUGAAGAUAGUUGUGAUCCCAUAUACUUCUGGGUUAUCAAGACAUUUUUCUUGCGUCAGGGGAGCAUAGCUCUGUUUAUUGAGUUCCCUUGGGAUUCUCACUUAUCGUGAUGAAAAAACUGAAAGACCCUAAGACUAAGAUCAUACCCUCUAAGACGAGGGGAGGUAAGAAACUGCCAUCUAGGUGAUGUGGCCUUAGUUGAUAAAAUGAAAGUGUCACUCAUGACAUGUUUAGCACGAGCAUAACACACACAUCCAACAACGCAAGUAAGUUUCUCAUGUAUUUGCUUAUAAAAGACGUUUUCCAAUCACAUGGUCAAGAAGAUCUAUCCAAACACCACAAUAAAAAAGGAAAAAUCAUACACUCACGAACGAUUGGCUAUGCAUUGGUCGUAGCAAACAUUCUCCCACCAAUCAAUACUGGUUUUUACCAUUGGCCCCACUCUCCUCCUCAUUUCUGAUCAUAAAAUUUACACAUGCAACCGUAACCAUGAUUUCAUAAAGUCUGUCCAUAAAAGUAGCAUAUCCGAUAAAACACACACUCAAAUAUAUCCCCGCACACUCCAAAUCAACUAAUACGUAAAUAGUUUUCAGAACUUCAAAAAAAUUACGACGUAAAAGUGAAACAAAAAAUCCAAAAACAUAAGCCACGCGGCAGAACGCGUACUACCCUUCUAGUCUUUAAGUGAUGGUCAAUGAGAUUUUCUCGUGCAUGCAUGAUUAGUCAGAUGAAAAGAUAGAGAGGGGCAAUCAAUACUGAAGAGGUAAUAAUUUGAUUAUUAAACUGAAUAGGUAGUGCUGCACAUCACUAGGGGCAUGCACCAAUGAGAGAUCUCAUUUGUGAGGCAAGAAUAUCAUAUACCAGGAACAAAAUAGAAUAAUCCAUGACUGGUUGGAUAGAGUGGACCUAUGACAUGUGGAUGCAUGGCCAAUCACUUCAAAUCAAUUAAUUAAUUUCCAUUUGAUGCCACGAUGUGCAUACAGAUCGAUCGGAUUGAUCCCUUCCCGCGAGCCACGAGCAUAUGUUGGUGUGUGUGUGUGCGCGCGUGAAGAAGUCGUUGAUUAGUUUGAAGGCCAGAUCGAGCAUUGCAAUUUGAAGAAGUGGUUGAUGAACUCGUUUCUACAGGCUAAGUGGGUGUCAGCAAUCGACUUGGUACACCCGGGCAUACAUAUAACAUGAAUAUAGUGUCGAUCUGACCAUGGAUGCAUCAGAGAUGGGAGAAACGAGGACAAUGAUACCUUUAGUUCACCAGGGAUUGAACCUUAGGUUUGGCGUUUUGUCGUCUUAUAAAGAUGGAAUAUUAUUUCAGUAGGAGACCAUAUUUUACUCGAUAGAAAGGCGUUUGUGGUGAUUUCGUUAAUUUCAAACCCAUCGGCUUCAACAAUCCUUGAAAACAUCCUUGCUAGGACCUUAGGGCAUGUACAAUAGUGUCUAUUCAACCAUCUGCAACACAAUCCACAUAGGUAAUUAGAUGAUGUUGGAGAAAGAGAGAGAUUAAAAUGGUAUAGUCCGUCGGUAGAAGUAAUAACAGUCCAUGAAAAUCGUUGAUUAGAGACAGCCUAUUUCCCGUUGUACCCAGAGCGUUGUCGGAUGGGAUCUCCUCUUCCAUGGAAACCACCUCUCUCAUGUUCUGUGAAAUUUGGUGAUUAUCGACAGUCAAAUAGACUCCCUGAUGUAUAGGCCAUUCCUUAUGAUGUCUAUACAUGACGUGAAGAUCUUUUACACACACCCAUCGUCGGAACGGUUGUACAUGCCCUUAGGGGUGAGGAAGUACCAAAUCCAAGAAUGACUUAUAAAGUGGAACCAAGUUAACACACAAGAAACUGAAAGCCCAUGAGGAUAAUUAGAUCAAAAAAUGCAAAUAGAGAAAACACAAUGGAAAAACAAAGAUGACAACAUGAGUAAGAGAGUGGAGAAGCGGCCAAUCUCCAAUAAUAGCACUCAGGCCUAAGAACAGGUACAAAUAGAAAACAAACAACCACUAAAAUGACUUGCAACUGAGAGGAGGAAAGAAAAAGGCCGACGAGUGAGGAGAAGAGGCGCAAAGGAAACCAAAUAUAACAAACACCCAGAAAAAGGAAGAAAUUAGCAUGAACAUUGCAGCAUAGAAACAAGGGCUAUUAUCUUUUUGCCCUCACUGGUGUCCAUGUGCUCAAUUUUGCCCCGAGUUACGAAUCGUGUUCAGUUUUGCCCCUAGAUUGUGCAAAACUACUAUGACGAGGCCAAACGGGCAGUUUUGAGUCCAUUUCGUCUAUUGACGUUAGUGGUAGUGGGUCCGGAGCUUACACGUGGGACCGCGUGGACGUGGGUCCGGAGCUUACAUGUGAGACCGCGCAACAACGUCCCCAAAUCAAUCCUAGGGUUCUAACCGUGCCACUCAACGCCACUCUGCCCCGUCCGCCGCCCGACCAUCCUGCACCGCCGUCGCCACCUGCGCUGCCGCCACCACCUUCGCCGCCACUAGCUUUUCUGCCGUGGCCGCGGCCACGACCAUCCUGCUCCACCCGCCACCUUCCUAUGAUGCCACGGAUGAGGCGCCCCCACCUGCUCGACCCACGGCGUGGCCUCCUUCCGUGCACUCGGCCGGAGCGCUGAUAGGUGGGGGGCUGGUGCACACAGAGGAACUAUGAGGGUGAACCCUAGGGUGAAAUGUCGAGCGACGGCAACCUCGGUGUAUUUGGCUAGGCAGGCAUUGGGCCGGAUAUCCGCUGCGUCCACGACUGGGUUCCCGAGGGGUAACUCAGGCCUCGUGUUUAGAUUGAGCUUAGUUGUGCAUUUCUACAGUCGAUUUGAGUUGGUUUGUCCGGUUAGUUUAGCUAUUGGUGUGCUGAUUGCGUCUGUGUUUUUUGUCGGUUAGGAUGGAGUUGCGGUUUGCUUUCUUGGUGCACAUUAGAAGGGACCGGUACAUGUUGAAUGCAAAGAAUAAGAAGAAAUUCCAAGGAGGUUUCAAAUAUCUGUUGCCAAUGGCUUGUAAUUGGAGUUUCAUACAAUUUGGGGAGGUAAUUUGCAACCAAUAUCCUUGGGGUUUGCUUGAUGAAGUGGAAUACAAAUACUACGAUGGGGAAAAUAAAUGGGUGACAGUUAGUAAUGAUGAAGAGCUGGCUACCAUGUUUGCUAGGCAUAAGGAUAAAGAGAAUUUUCAUGUGAGUGUGCAAAUUGAUGUGCGUGAGCAAGCAUUUGGACCUAGGAUGGCGGGUGCACCUUCUCAGGGAGAACCAAGUCAUCAUAAUGGCCGCUCUAGCGAGGAUAAUCCAGUUAGUGCACGGCAACGUGGUGACUCGACAUGCAUGGGCACCGGUAGUAGGGUCCCCCUUGAAGUGGAGCCUAAUGCCUACAAUUCUAGGAUUGAUGAAGAGAAGCUAUGUUCUGAUGUUAUUCAGAAUUUACGACGGGCGCCUCGGGCUGAAAACCAAGAUGAGGCUGACAAUGAUGUCCAUGUGGAUGGUGACGUGGUGGGUGAGGACGAAGACCUUGCAACUGUUUAAUAGGACCCUUUGAACCCUCAUAUGGAAGAAGGUGUUGGGGAACGUCGCAUGGGAAACAAAAAAUUUCCUACGCGCACGAAGACCUAUCAUGGUGAUGUCCAUCUACGAGAGGAGAUUUGGAUCUGCGUAACCUUGUAGAUCACACAGCAGGAAGCGUUAAGAAACGUGGUUGAUGUAGUGGAACGUCUUCACGUCCCUCGAACCGUCCCACGAACCGUCCCGCGAUCCGUCCCACGAUCCGUCCCGCGAUCCGUCUCAUGAUCCGUUCCGAUCUAGUGCCGAACGGACGACACCUCCGCGUUCAGGACACGUAUAGCUCGAUGACGAUCUCCACCUUAUUGAUCCAGCAAGAGGGGGCGGAGAGGUAGAAGAGUUCUCUGGCAGCGUGACGGCGCGCCGGUGGUGGUGAUGAUCUACUCCGGCAGGGCUUUGCCUAAGCUCUGCAGAAAUACGAUCUAGAGCAAAAACUGUGUGGUGAGCAGCACGUGGCAAAGUUGUCUCUCAAAAACCCCCAAUACCUCUAGUAUAUAUAGGAGGGAGGGAGGGGAGGAGGCAGCCUCAAACCCUCAAGGUUUGGCCGAAAUUGGAGGUGGAGGAGUCCUACUCCAAUCCUACUUGGAGUAGGAUUCCACCUUCCCACUUGGAAACUCUUUCCACCUUGUGUUUUUUCCUUCUCAAACCUUAUGGGCCUUAGUGGGAACUUAUUCCAGCCCACUAGGGGCUGCUUUAUAUCUUCCCAUAGCCCAUGAGACCCCUUGGGGCGUGACACCCCUCCCGAUGGUCCCCGGCACCCCUCCCGACACUCCCGGUACAUUACCGAUAAGCCCUAAACUUUUCCGGUGACCAAAACAGAACUUCCUAUAUAUCAAUCUUUACCUCCAGACCAUUUAGGAGCUCCUCGUGGCGUCAUGGAUCUCAUCCGGGACUCCAAACAACUUUCGGUUACCAACACCUAUAACUCAACUAUACUGAAAACAUCGUCGAACCUUAAGUGUGCAGACCCUGCGGGUUCGAGAACUAUGUAGACAUGACCCGAGAGACUCCUCGAUCAAUAUCCAAUAGCGGGACCUGGAUGCCCAUAUUGGAUCCUACAUAUUCUCCGAAGAUAUUAUCGGUUGAACCUUAGUGUCAAGGAUUCAUAUAAUCCUGUAUGUCAUUCCCUUUGUCCUUCGGUAUGUUACUUGCCCGAGAUUUGAUCGUCGGUAUCCGCAUACCUAUUUCAAUCUCGUUACCGCCAAGUCUCUUUACUCGUUCCGUAAUACAAGAUCCCGUGACUUACACUUAGUCACAUUGCUUGCAAGGCUUAGGUGUGAUGUUGUAUUACCGAGUGGGCCCCGGGAUACCUCUCCGUCACACGGAGUGACAAAUCCCAGUCUUGAUCCAUACUAACUCAACGGACACCUUCGGAGAUACCUGUAGAGCACCUUUAUAGUCACCCAGUUACGUUGUGACGUUUGAUACACACAAGGUAUUCCUCCGGUGCCAGUGAGUUAUAUGAUAUCAUGGUCAUAGGAACAAAUACUUGACACGCAGAAAACUAUAGCAAUCAAACGACACGAUCAAUAUGCUACGUUCAUAGUUUGGGUCUUGUCCAUCACAUGAUUCUCCUAAUGAUGUGAUCCCGUUAUCAAGUAACAACACUUGCCUAUGGUCAGGAAACCUUGACCAUCUUUGAUCAACGAGCUAGUCAAUUAGAGGCUUACUAGGGACAGUGUUUUGUCUAUGUAUCCACACAAGUAUUGUAUUUCCAAUCAAUACAAUUAUAGCAUGGAUAAUAAACGAUUAUCAUGAACAAAGAAAUAUAAUAAUAACUAAUUUAUUAUUGCCUCUAAGGCAUAUUUCCAACAGAAGGUACCGUUUUUGGAUCCAUGAGUGAGUGUAGAAAUGCACUUGUGACAUACACCAUCAAGGUAGAACGUACUUUCAAAGUUGACAAGAGCGAUCAAGUACGUUACAAAGUGCACUGUCCGACUGAGGGUUGUCCAUGGAGGAUGCUCGCAUCUAAAAUGCAAAAUAGCACGAAUGUUGAGGUCAAAGUGAACCCUUUUAAGCACAAACGCCAAGAAUCAACCCUUAGGAAGGAUACAAUCUAUAGAGCCAAGUCAAGAUGGGUGGCGGAAGAAGUAAAGAAGUGGGUGAAAGAAAACGAGCAAGUGGGUCCAAAGGAAUUGCACAAGAACAUCAAAGACAAGUUUAAGAUAGAGUUACCGUACAUGAGGUUGUUCAAUGGUAAACAACAUGCUAUGGAUUCUAUUUAUGGUAACUCGCAGGAAAUUUUUCAAUUGUGGUAUUCAUUCAAAGGUGAAGUGGAGAGGACGAGCCCAGGUAGUAUUGUAGAUAUUGACCACCACACCAUGGAGUACACAUUCAGGAGAGUGAGAAAGACCAAGGAAUGCUUUAGGAGGGUUUUUGUCUACUUUGAGGUUUGUUGCCGGGGUUUUAUGGCAGGCUGCAGGCCGUAUUUGGCUAUUGAAGAUACUUUUCUCACAAGGACGUUUAAAGGACUGUUAGUAGUAGCUUGUGCAGUUGAUGCACAUAAUUUUGUAUUUCCAGUUGCGUACAGUGUGCCGGAGACAGAGUCUGAGGAGAGUUGGACUUGGUUUUUGCAUAAUCUGUGCUGGGCUAUUGCACAUAUCAAUGAGUUGGUAAAUCAUACAGAUGCGUGCAAAGGUUUAGAAGUGGUCGUCGAUAAUGUAUUCCCUGGAGUAGAGCAUAGGGAAUGCAUCUGUCACCUUGCUGCAAAUUUUGUCAAGAAAUACAAAGGAAAGGUGUAUACCGACAAUUUAUGGCCAACAUCCUUGACUUGGAGUGUGAAGAAGCACAACUACCACUUGAGGAAGUUAUACACGAAUCCCAAAGUGAAGGAAUACUUGGAAACACACCACUCCAAGUUAUGGGCCAGAAGCCAAUUCAGUGAACUGAGAAAAGUUGACUACGUGCACAAUAAUAUAGUAGAGUCUUUCAACUAAAUGAUACGGAAACUAAAGGGUCAUUAUGUGGUGGAUUUGCUUGGUAGAAUAAUGAUAGAAUACAUGCAGAAAUUUCAUUAUCGUGCAUGAAUAGCCGAGACAAAAUUCAUGGGCCACAUUAUCAUCCCUGUCGUGAUGAAUGAACUAAAGCAGAAAACAACAGGCUUGGAAAUGAACAUGAAUCUUUGCUCAGGUACCACAACAGAGAUAUCAUAUUUGGAUAAAGAGAAGAGGGAAUGGAGAUAUCCGGUGUAUGUAGAAGUUAGAACUUGUAGUUGUAGGCAAUGGCAGAUAACUGGGUUGCCAUGCAUUCAUGCCUUGUUUUUCAUCACUUCUGUCUCAGGUCCAGCAGGGAAUAUACAUCAGUAUGUGUAUGAUUACUACUCUGUUGCAAGGUUCAAAGCCACAUAUGUGUAUGCCUUGCUUGCUAUGGAGGGAAAACAACAAUGGGACAUAGUGGACCCUGGAUUCAAGCUUUGCGCUCUAGUUCUGAAGAGAUCAGCACGUAGACCAAAGAAGAGUCGAAUCAAACCUCGCAGCGAAGAAGCUGGACUUGGAGCGAGGAAGCGUAAAUGCACAAGGUGUGGUGGGUCUGGUCAUUUCGCUAAGUAUUGUGAUAACACAGUAGAUCCAGCGUUCGGAGAGUGUUUCGAUGAAGGCUUCCAUGAAGCUUCAAUGAAAAUGUUGAUCAGCAACUGAUUGUCGCAAUAGAUGAUGAAAAUGAUGGUGAACACUCGGUUGCAUCAGAUGGGGAUUUUGACGAGGUUAGAAAUGAUGAUGGUCAACAACCGCAUGAUUUUGACGAUGAUCCAAAAUAUCCUCCAAAUGAUGAUUCAAGUGAAGUGAGGCCCCAAAUGGUGAUCCAAGUGAGGACCCAAAUGAUGAUCCAAGUGAGGCUCCAAAUGGUGACCAACCGUUUGUCGUUGUGAGUUCUGCUAGGUAUGCAAAUCUUGCAAAUACUAUUGUACAUUUAUCACUUGACAUGAUCUCAUUACCCUUGAUAUUUUGUACAGCUCUGCGGAGGUUUGAAGAAGACGCACAAGGUACCGACAACCAAGAGGAGAAGAGAAGAAGCAAUGAGCACAAUGAGCACAAGGUGCACGAGGAGCAAAGUGAUAGCAAGAAGCUCAAGGAUCAAACAGAAGCCCCAACACUAUUUAUGAAUAAUUAUGAAACAUUAUGAAUAAUGUUGUAUUCUGUUAAAUGAUGUUGGACCUAUGUUGACAUGCUAUUUGGAUGUUGCAAUUCUUUGAAAACUUUGGUAGGGUAAACUCACAUUCAUGAAAAAUGUGCUAAAGAAGAGCUCCAACGGUAGGGUAAACAGCCUCAUUUCUAAGCAAGGUUUUUUUCGACCUUGUCUAAAUCAGCCAAAUAACUUUAUUACACAUAUAUUCUAUACAUACACACUAUGUGCAUUUGUUUGUUUGUUUUGCUCAUUUGAAUUCUGGUCAAACCUAACUUUGACCAAGAUUUAAACAAGUCUAAAACAUCAAAAUGAAAAACUAACCUCGGAUCCUUCUUAGUCACUUCAAAAUGAAGCUGUGGUGAGGUUUUUGAAAAUUUCAUGUUCCAAACCUCAAACCACUUCUCUUCACUUCAUACGUCAGAAUUUUUCAUUUGAAUGUAAGUGGACCUUGUUUAUCAAACCUAACUUUCACUAGUAUAUGACAUAAGAAGACUAUGUACGCUGGUUUUUCAUUUUUCUGAUUUUUUUGAAUUCUGGUCAAACCUAACUUUGACGAACAUUUAAACAAGUUUAAAACAUGAAAAUGAAAAACUAAGCCUCGAACCUUCUUAGUCACUCCAAAAUGAAGUUGUGGUGAGGUUUUUGAAAUUUUCAUGUUCAUUUCCCCAAAACACUUCUCUCCACUUCAUAUAAGAGAGUUUGAGAUACUUGAGAUGUCACAUGAGACACAUGAACUUUUCGUUUAAAUGUAUGUUGACCUUGUUUAUCAACUUAAAUCGCUAGUAUAUGACAUAAGAAGACUAUAUGUGCAGGUUUUUCAUUUUUCUGAUUUUUAUUUAAUUUAUUAUGCUCAUUUGUAAUCUGGUCAAACCUAUCUUUGACUCCUCCGAACCCCUCCCAAACCCCGCUAACUCUAGCGCUGAACAAGGACCGUCCAUCUAACCCUAGCAUCGAACAAGGACCGUCGAUCUGCGGGGAGAAGGAAGGCGAUCCGCGAGAUGCAAUGUGAUUGGCUGGGCGUUUUUUUCUCAACACGCAUAGUGGGCGCGCUGGAUGGACCGUUGGACCGUCUCGCUGUCCGGGCAUGUGAGCGUUAUUAAUGCCCGUCUCAGCCUUUCCAGGUCUGCAUGCAUGGGAAGUACGACGACUUGGGCAUGCAUGCGCGAGAGGCGGACAUGGGCAUGCAUGCGCGGGAGGCAAGCGACGUGGCUAUGCACGGAUUGAUUCAAAUUACGCAAUGAUGCACAUGCCCGGUCAAACAACAGCCCUAUCGUUUCGGUGCCCGGAUACAUACGCAUGUGCCCGGAUACACACGCAUGCGCCCCAUCGGUGUCAAAACUUAAUCGAUACACAUGCACACGCCCGGAUUCACACACACACCAUUCACAUCCCUUCUCUCUUGCCCUCCCACUCACACGCCUAUUUCUAUGCCUCUCUUCCUCUCCCACUCACCACCCAAGCUAGAUCCAUUCUCUCCAACUUCAAACACCCAAGCGAUCGAGCCCUCCAUCCUCUUCGAGAACCUCAAGUACCAAGUGAAGAUGCAGUACAAUGGGCCGACCUUCCUUCGUCCGCCUGUUGUGCCAGAGCUGGACUACCCACCGAAUGUGCUCGUGGAAAGCGAGCCCCGUGUGUGGGCGACUUCCAAGUGGAGGGGGUCCGUCGAGCUCGACCGCGCCUUCCUCACAGCCGGCUAUGCCCACCUGCCACGGGGCUCGUCUAGGAUGUUCGCCCUCAACAAGGUUCGUGACCGCGUCAGCACCCUCGUACUGCUCACGGUCACCUUCGCCAACCAGUUUGAUGCGCGCGAGCUCCUCGACCAAGUGUAUUGGUGCGGCUGCGAGUCCAUCUUCUUCACGGUGUACAACAUCUUCACCAACUACGAGUGCAUCUUCCCCAUCGAAAACCAGAUGCACUCCCUUCCCUACGACGAGGAGGAUGAGUGAAGUUGAAGACGGUGGUGAAGCGGCGCGAACAAGGUGGAAGAAAGGUCAAGAUGAAGAUGUUCAAGAAGGGGUGCAAGCCCGGAGUGAAGUUGUUCGUCAUGAUCGUCAUGUUUUAGUUUUAUCGGUUUUAUGUUGUUGCUUUUCUAUGUCGUGCGUGCUGUGUCGUGUCAUGUCAUCCCUGGACUUAUUUAUGUAGGGUACCCAUCUAUGUAAGGGUAUGGUGGGUUGCAUCUUAUCCAUCUAUGUUAUUAUGUGUGUUCAAAAAUGUCCGUGCACACAGAUAUCAUUUCUUCCCUAAACCAAGUCAUGAACUAACAUGCACAUUUAUUCUCUUUAAACCCUAAACCAAGUGUCACUCUAACCAGAAUCAUGUGGCAGUGCAAACAUGCGUUUCCAACCCUCCAAAAGUUCAGUACAAAACAAAGGAAAACCACUCCCACGCGUGUGCAAACAUUCAGUACAAACAUGUGUUUUUAAACCCUAAACCAAGUCACGGUCUCACUAUGUAUAGUUUUCUUCCCUAUCCAUGUCAAAGUCUUUCCAUCUGCCCUAGCGGUUACCAGCGCAUCCCUAAACGCCACAAACCAACGCGGUCCUGGGUUCGAGUCCGAGCCGCACCAAUUUAUUGUGCAUUUUCCACCCUUCUUUUUUUAGACAAAUUAUUUUUUUCUCGAUGUAAUGCCCUUAAAAAAUGUUCAUUAAUUUUGGCACCACGUGUAAACCUCAACGAGAGCUAGAGCUGAGAUCUCAUUUGCCCACCCCCGAAUGGGCCUAAUUGGAUGCAGUUGGCCCAUUAGUCUAGCCGGCAAUUGGCUCUCGGCUCUGAAUUUGGCCCACAAAGAAACCUUCUUUUUUUUACAGAAAGGCAGAGAAGAGAGCUCCAUUUCAUUUAUCAAAGUUUCUGAAUUUCUCAUUUCUUCUCCCUUUUUCAACAUAUUUAAUUGUUGGUCAUUUCUUCUCCCUUUUUCAACAUUUAAACAACUUUUACCAACAUUUAAAAAAGGUGAAUUUCUCAUACAAUUUCAAGCUUACAAAUUCCUCCAUAAUUCAUGCCUUUCCAUACAAUUUCAACAUUACACCCACUGCGAUUACCAUACCUACAAAUGCCCAAAAGUAAUUGCAAACGUGUAUUUGUGCUUCAUCUUCGAGCUUCCUAACCUUCUUGUUCAACCUCUUAAGCUCAACAACUAGCUCUCUGUCAUUGUGUGCUCCGCCCUCCAUCUCUUCUUCCGGAGCUCGUGUUGCGGCCACUAUCGUUCGUGGUAGGAUAGGCAACCAUUCUCCAUGAUCUUCUUGCAGUCCAUUCAUCAGAAUCUUGGCAAGAGCAUCAACCCAAAGGAAGAAACAUUUCACCUGCAUGAACGCCAAAGCAGAUCAACCAUAUUGCUCAAGGAUCCCGACCAUGAAAAUGGUGCAAUUGCCCCGAUUCUUACCCCAUUCUCCCUGCACAUGUAGAACAAACGAUUAUGGUUAUUCGAUGUGUGAGAAACCCUCCGAUCAACGCCCGCCCGACACCGCGGACAAACGAAUAUCGGCAUCUCCACGCGCAUUGGGUUGUGGGUCCGUGAGGUGGCGCGGGAGCUUGAAGAAGACAUCAAGCUCGGAGUCGAAGGGGAUCUCAAUGCCGCCGCGCCCUCCACAACAAUCUUCCCACCGCCGCGCUCUCUGUCGCCAGUGGUCACCGCCACUCUCUCUGUCACCCGCACCCAGCUCUGAGCUACCAACAGUGCUCACUGUUGCUCUCUCUGUCGCCCGUGCCCAAUUCCCCAGCCUAGCUGAUUGUUGCUCACCACUACGAGCUCCGGAGACGCACUCUGCUGCUUAUAUCGCACUCCCGCAAUGGCUCUCUGCUCAACAGCUCUUUGCUAAGUCCCACAAGCCACGAGAGCAAUGGUCUGAUCGUGUAGCGCGUCUCUGCCGCUUGGUCCCACUUGUAAGAGCCAAGUCAAAACAUUGACCUGACGGAGACGGCAGUGUUCACGGGACGAGUCGGUGCAGACAGACUAGGGACAAACUGAGCACGAUUCACAACUAAGGACAAAACCGAGCACACAGACACUACUAAAGGCAAAAGGAUAAUUAGCGCUAGAAACAACCCAACUCGAACAAAAACUAAUGAUCCAUCGAUCGCCGUCGAUGGCAAACAAAGCAACAAGGACGAGAAAACCCAAAGAAGCCCACGUGGUAAACAAAACAUAAUGGUGUGAGGGGAAAGCAGGGAAGAAGAAAACCAGGCUCCGUUAUAUAUCAAAACACCCCACACACACACCGACAUACCACACCCCAAGCACCCAGCAGCGAGCGCCUGCCAACCUGGGACAAACAAAUACAAGGCCAUCCAUCUACGAGGCAAGCCCGGAGCAUAAGGACGCAUUUGGUUGCCUGCAUGAGGCCCAACAAGGCCCGCACAGGAAGAAAAUAGGUUGUUUGGUUGGCUGCAUACACUGCUGGUCCUGCAUGGCAUGAUGUUUAAAGCAUUCGUGGGCCUGGCACCGUGGGAACGCUCGAAUCGACAGUUUCUCCAGAGCCACGCCCGAGCGGUGCACGUGGGCGACGGCGGCUGCACGCGCGUGGCCACUCUCGAGAAGCCGCAUUGCUUCCCGAAGCACUGACGGUUAUUAGCCUCACCGCUCCCUCUCCUCACUCUCCCCCACUCUCCCAACUCUCAACGGCAGCGGCAGAUCGGAGGAGAGAAAGAAGACUACCAGACUCCAUCACCGGCGAGUGGAUCCUCACCUGGCCCGCACCAAUGGUGGUACGCACUUUUCUGUUCGUCAUGCACUACUUUUUCGCCUUCGAUCCGGCGGUAGAUUCGAUCCACGGCGGAGAGGGGAAUGGGGGAAUAGAGGUAGACAAGCAUGGCACUUCAUACUAGUUCAUACGAGUUCAUACUAGUUCAUGCAUGAUCGGAAUAUAGGUAGAUGUGGAUGGAAUAGAAGGGGGAUUGGGGGAUUGGAGGUACACAAUAGACACUGGAUAACUGCACCGUUGAGGCGUACAGAGCGGCGGGUCGAGUGGCUCGCCUUCAUCUUCUUGUCCAUCGCCGUCCGGGGAGGCGCGUCGUCAUCGUCCGUGGCGGAGUCGAGGUCGAUCUGCCAGCUAUGACGGCCUGCCUCGGCGCCCUCACUGGCAUUUGCACCGGUUCUUCCUCCUCUUUAGGCUCCCCACCGAUGACCACCGGCGGCACGAUUGUCGUCUCCCAGUACAGUGCGGCACUACGGUCAUUAGGAGCCCAGUAGUUCUUGUACUUGGACCACCUCUUCCUCUGUUUAGUGUCACCGGAGAUGGCCUGAUUCAUGGCCCAGCGAAUGAUGUCGACUGCCAUCGCGCCCUUCGCUGGGUUAGGAAUCAACGUCUUCAACUCUUGUGCAGUGGCCCUCAUGAGCACUGCAUCAGAUUCCUUCUGCAUGUCAGGCAUGGAGCCGAAGUUUGAGCACACCUCCAUGGUGUUCUCAAACUUGGUGCGGUCACCAGUCGACCACCCAAGGAAGAAGGCCCUCGAGCCAAUACCCCAAGGGAAGGGGUUGGCGUUGGAGCUGGAGGUGGAGCUCAUGGUGAUGGAGAGGAGGAAGGUUGAUAGUAAGAGAAGAGAGGGGGUGGGUAAGUAGUUGUGACAGCCCGUUGCCGACGUUCCAGAAGAUUCCCCUUCUAUUCCGUUUUCGUCGUGUGUUAAUUCUUUUGUCGCAUCAUCAUCGCAUCAUGCGCAUCAUCAGCAUUGCAUCGGCAUCUCGUUGCCGCCCGUUUUCAAAACUUGCAUCCAUUAGUAGUUGCCGGUUCUCGUCGUUGUCCAUUCUGAGUCCGACCGCACACGCACGCGCCCGCGGCAUCGUCGGAACCCUGUUUUAAAAGUGUGUUGAAAUUUUUCUCUAAUCGGGUUGAGAUUUGACGUGCGGUCUUAUUUUAAUAUAGCUAGGCCUCCUGUCGAAUUUCGUCGCGAUCGGAGUCCGUCUGGUACCCGAACGGUCGACCGUAGCGGCACCGUCUUCGGUUAUUCGUCGGACGUCUGUCGGUGUUUUUAAAAUCCGUGCCGCGCCGCCCGUUCUCCCUCUCGUCUCCGGAUAUCCCCUUUACACGGCCGCGUACCCAUACCUGCGUUCGGAAUCGUCCGAAUCCGACCCCGCGGUUGGAUCCGGAACGCGAUUCCGGUUAACCGAGCCCCUCUUUUCUCUAUAAACACCCCCUCCAUCAUAUUUUUUGGACAGCCCCCUCCUCCACCUCGAAAUCCGUGCAAAACCUAACCCUAGCCGCAGCCUCCUCCCACCUCCUCCUCGCGCCGACGGGCCCGCGAGGCCUGCCGAGCCCAUCCGGCGCUGCCCCGUUCUCCUCCCAGCCCCGAGAUCCUCCUACCAGGAGCUGCGCGCCGCCCGAUCCGCUUCCCGCCGGCGUCCGCCGCCGCAGGCCGCCCCGAUCCAACCCCCCCCACCGCCGCCUUGCGCCUCUAGCUGCCGGCCACGGCCGCUGCCUCGCCGGUGCGCCGCCCGUUCUGCCUCAGCUCGCCCAGCCCUGCGCAGCUUCUCCUGCCGCCUCGUCUCUCCCGUGUAGGUCGGCGCCGCCUUGGAGAGCCGCCGGGAUCUGGCCGGAGCAGGCCCCGCCGCUCAGAUCGGGCCGCGGGCAGCUCAUGGACUGGGGACGAGGGAUCAACGAGAGGGACGAGAGCCUCACCCCGCCUGGGCCGGCCUCCCGCAGCGGCCCAGCUGGUCGUGCCCGAGCAGCCCAGGCCGGCUUCCUCCCAGCUCGGCCCAGUCGCACGUCCGCCCUAGGCCUGCCUCCCGGCCGUCAUGGGCCCGAGGCCCACUCAGGUGACCGCCCCCGAGCCCACUAUUCCCCGCCCUAGGUGGCUUAUACUAAGUUGCGCUCAAUGGUCGAUUCAGCCCUAAUUCGAAUCCGGCCCAAUAGCGUUUUUUUAGGAUUUAGAAUCUAAAUUCUAUUUCAGUUUUAUAUAGAUUUUUUUAAAACGUUCGUAAGUUUUUAACCGUAAGUCGGAUCGCGAAGAAUUAGAUAUGUAUUUCGUGUAGAUUUUCACGUAGAAUCCGAUUAUCCAACUUGCAUAAAUGUUUGACGAUAUUUAGCGUGCUGUGUGCAUGGAUUAACGUGCUGUCCUAUUAUGUUUGCGUCCCGUAUUAUUUUUCCGCGCGUGCUCGGACUGCCCGUAUACCGUAGAUUAAAUGUCCAUGUUUUAGGAAUCGUUUUUGCAUGUAUUUUAGUGCGGUCAAUUGUAUUUUUACGUGUAGGGNNNNNNNNNNNNNNNNNNNNNNNNNNNNNNNNNNNNNNNNNNNNNNNNNNNNNNNNNNNNNNNNNNNNNGUGUAGGGAUUUGUCGGUAUUUUAUUUUCCCGUGUAUAGGUUAUCUUUCCCGCAUUUUCGUGUGGCACUAUAUCGUUGUGCAACCCCACAUAUUUUAUAUGUUUCCGGGGUAGAAAAAUCCAUGUGAUUUUUCUGUGCAUUUAGUUUUAGCUUUUGAGUAAGUUAGUUCGCGAGAUAUUUUGCUAUGUUACCCUUUUGUUUAAUUCGUAGGAUUUAUUCUGUGCUCGUUUGAAUUAGUUGUCAACUAGAGAGUUGAUCUUGGGUGUUUAGACUAGCCCCUGGUAUUUUUACUUGCAAUAGAAAUGCAUGUUUAGGUGUUUUUUGAUUGCCCGCAAGUUGUUAGAAAUAGUGCUGAUUUGGAGGAGCUGAAAUAUUUUUAAGUCUGGAAUCUGUUUUAUUUUGUUGCUGUCUUGUCUUGCUUGCAUCUUGUGAUCUAUAGCUCUUUUGAGGUUGGUCCAAUGGAGUUAGUUGUACCCCUUGUUUUUCUCUAGCAUGCUGUAAAUUUUCAUACCAUUUGGAGUCCUGUAGAUAUAGGUUUUGUUGUUGUCAAUAUUGCUUCAGAACGAAAACUGCACUUUCAUGAGGUGUAAUUUUCACUAAAUCUGAAAUAGUGUGUGAGAUGCCAUUUUGUGUCUUCUUUUCCUAGUGCUCCUUGCUGCCACGCUAGUUGUUGUUAGUUGUUUGUAGUAGUGCGUCUUGCCCUCUUCCGUGCUAUGCCUUGCUUGGGCAUAUCGGAGUUGUGUAGCCGUAGUUGUGGGGCGUAGUAAAUGCUAUGUGGCUGAUUUUGGCAGAUUGUAGUCAUUUCUUGUUUUGCUCGUAGUUGUUGAACCGUAGCUCCGAUUUGAUCGUGUCCUAUAUGAAACUUGCUUAGAAUCUCGUGUAGUAUCAUGUUCUCGUGCUGUUUGUAUGUUUUGAGGUGCUCAUAGCCGUCGUUGCACACAUAUUGCAUUCAUGCCAUCAUAUCUUGCGGUGCUUGUAUCUUUUGAACCGUAGCUCCGUUGGAGAUGACCCUUAUGUGUAGGUUGCUUGAAAUGACGCGUAGAAUCAUGUGAACCUAUUUGUUUUGCUGUUUAACAACCAAUUAAAUGCAUUAGUUCAGAUCUGGACAGAAUUGUAAAUUAACAUGUGAGGUCGUCUCGGAGGUGCUAUAUGUCAUUUCUGACCUCACUUAAAAUGUCUAGAUAGGUAGAUUAAUUGCGCCUCACCUCUUGCCAUGUUUAACCACGUUUAAUAUUGUCGUGUAUCUAAUCAGGACAGAACUAAAUAAUUAACGUGGAGUUUCGUCAAUAUGCAACUCGUUUCAUAUUGAAACUUCACUUAAUGUGUAGUGUUUGAUUGUGUGAAUUGUCAUGCCGUGACUUGCAUAUAUCCAGCUGCUCAUGCAUCAUUUGUGUUGUGCAUCGUGUGGUGAAUAUCGUGUGUUGAUUUGUGUUUCCGGUUUGCUUCGUCUCGAUAGAGUUCCGCAAGCGUGUCGGAUUGUGAGGACCCGUUCGACUACAUCGGUUCGCCUGCUUCACGGAGUCAUUCUUCUUCCAAGCGGGAUCUCAGGCAAGAUGAUCAUUUCCCCAGAUACCAUUACUAUCAUUGCCAUGAUAGUUUAUCGCUUCUAUCGAUUAUGUCUCGUUGCCUACCACCUGUUAAAUAUCAGCCUUCUCAACAAUGCCAUGCAAACCUUCAACCUGUUCAACCUAGCAAACCACUGAUUGGCUAUGUUACUGCUUGCUUAACCCUGUGUUAGCGUUGCUAGUUGCAGGUGCAUUGCUUCCAUGUGAAAGCAUGGGUUCCUUGUUAUAUCACCGUAUUUAAAUGCUAUUUAAUUUAAUGCACCUAUAUACUUGGUAAAAGGUGGAAGGCUCGGCCUUUCUAGCCUGGUGUUUUGUUCCACCUUUGCCCCCUAGUUUCCGGCUACCGGUGUUAUGUUCCAUAAAUGAGCGCUCCUAACACGAUUGGGGUUGUUAUGGGGACCCCCUUGAUAAUUCGUUUUAGAUUAAGACUGGUCUGGCAAGGCCCAACUCUGGUACUACAUUUGCCUAAUAACCUAAUAAUAAUGCAGAGGGACCUGCCGGCACCCCUUGAUAAUUCGUUUUAGAUUAAGACUGGUCUGGCAAGGCCCAACUCUGGUACUACAUUUGCCUAAUAACCUAAUAAUAAUGCAGAGGGACCUGCCGGCACCCCUUGAUAAUUCGUUUUAGAUUAAGACUGGUCUGGCAAGGCCCAACUCUGGUACUACAUUUGCCUAAUAACCUAAUAAUAAUGCAGAGGGACCUGCCGGCACCCCUUGAUAAUUCGUUUUAGAUUAAGACUGGUCUGGCAAGGCCCAACUCUGGUACUACAUUUGCCUAAUAACCUAAUAAUAAUGCAGAGGGACCUGCCGGCACCCCUUGAUAAUUCGUUUUAGAUUAAGACUGGUCUGGCAAGGCCCAACUCUGGUACUACAUUUGCCUAAUAACCUAAUAAUAAUGCAGAGGGACCUGCCGGCACCCCUUGAUAAUUCGUUUUAGAUUAAGACUGGUCUGGCAAGGCCCAACUCUGGUACUACAUUUGCCUAAUAACCUAAUAAUAAUGCAUAGGGACCUGUCGGCACCCGAGGAAAUUUAAUCAACCCCCCGGGCCAGUGUCCUCAUGAGUGUUGGUCCAAAUUGGCAGACUACGGGGCCACCGUGGGGCAACCCGAGGUUUGGUAUCUCCUAGUGUGACCCAUCCGUCGUGUCCUGAGAACGAGGUACGCGACUCCUAUCGGGAUCGUCGACACGUCGGGCGGCCUUGCUGGGUUAGUUUUACCUUUGACGAAAUAUCUUGUGCAUCGGGAUUCCGGUGAUGCUUUGGGUAAUCUCAGAGUCACUACUGGAAUCAGAGAUUUUGCCGUCUGCCUAUUCUUUGCCGUCUGCUAGCUGACGGCAAAGACACUCUUUGCCAUCAGCUUCAGCAAAACUGACGGCAAAGAACUAGCUGAUGGCAAAGAAGGUCUUUGCCAGCAGUCAACUCUUUGCCGUCUGCCGCAGACGGCAAAGAGGGCGCCAGCAGAUGGCAAAGAAGCUCAUCUGGCCGGGGGAACCUUAGGUCAACCUACUCCCUUCUUUGCCGUCUGUUGGCGGACGGCAAAGAUGCCACAGGCAGACGGCAAAGAGUAUAGACCCCUUUGCCGUCCGCCAGCAGACGGCAAAGGUCCUGAAUCUACUAACGGUUGUCCCGCCCCCACCACGGCCCUCUCUCUCUCUCUCUCAAACGGCACCUCCCUCUCUCUCCUCCCCCGACGCCCAACGCCGCCACCACUGUCGCCCGGCCACCCCCGGCGCCACCCCGGUGCCCCUGGUGCCGCCCACGAAGCCCCACNNNNNNNNNNNNNNNNNNNNNNNNNNNNNNNNNNNNNNNNNNNNNNNNNNNNNNNNNNNNNNNNNNNNNNNNNNNNNNNNNNNNNNNNNNNNNNNNNNNNNNNNNNNNNNNNNNNNNNNNNNNNNNNNNNNNNNUAGUCCUUCUCCUCCUUCUCCUCCUCCUCCUUCUCCUCCUUCUUCUUGAUUUCUUCUUCUUCUCCUCCUCCUCCUCUUUCUUCUCCUCUUUCAUAUUAUCCUUGCUUUAAUUAACCCAACAAUGACAUAAUUAGCCCAUUUAGCUCCAAAAUACCAUAAUAAGCUCAAAAUGGCAUAAGAACCUUGGUUAGCUCAUUAAUAUUAUAUACUUAGCUUGUUUUCCUCUAAAAUGGGAUAAUUAGCCCAUUUAGCUCAAAAAAGACAUAAUUAGGUAAUUUAGCUCCAACAAGAGGAGAAGAGGAGAAGAAAUAGGCAAAAUGAAAAGAAAGAAGAAGAAGAAGAAGAAGAAGAAGAAGAAGAAGAAGAAGAAGAAGAAGAAGAAGAAGAAGAAGAAGAAGAAGAAGAAGAAGAAGAAGAAGAAGAAGAAGAAGAAGAAGAAGAAGAAGAAGAAGAAGAAGAAGAAGAAGAAGAAGAAGAAGAAGAAGAAGAAGAAGAAGAAGAAGAAGAAGAAGAAGAAGAAGAAGAAGAAGAAGAAGAAGAAGAAGAAGAGAAGAAGGAGAAGGAGGAGGAGGAGGAGGAGGAGGAGGAGGAGGAGAAGGCCAAGGACCUUCUAUCCUUCUCCUCCUCCGAUCCUUCUCCUCCUCCUCCUCCUUCUUCUUCUUGAUUUCUUCUUCUUCUCCUCCUCCUCCUAUUUCUUCUCCUCUUUCAUAUUAUCCUUGCUUUAAUUAACCCAACAAUGACAUAAUUAGCCCAUUUAGCUCCAAAAUGCCAUAAUAAGCUCAAAAUGGCAUAAGAACCUUGGUUAGCUGAGUAAUAUUAUAUACAUAGCUAGUUUUCCUCUAAAAUGGGAUAAUUAGCCCAUUUAGCUCAAAAAAUACAUAAUUAGGUAAUUUAGCUCCAACAAGAGGAGAAGAGGAGAAGAAAUAGGCAAAAUGAAAAGAAAGAAAGCCAUGAUUAGGUAAUUUAGCUCCAACAAGAGGAGAAGAGGAGAAGAAAUAGGCAAAAUGAAAAGAAAGAAGAAGAAGAAGAAGAUGAAGAAGAAGAAGAGAAGAAGGAGAAGGAGGAGGAGGAGGAGGAGGAGGAGAAGGCCAAGGACCUUCUAGUCCUUCUCCUCCUCCUCCUUCUCCUCCUUCUUCUUGAUUUCUUCUUCUUCUCCUCCUCCUCCUCUUUCUUCUCCUCUUUCAUAUUAUCCUUGCUUUAAUUUUCGCAACAAUGACAUAAUUAGCCCAUUUAGCUCCAAAAUGCCAUAAUAACCUCAAAAUGGCAUAAGAACCUUGGUUAGAUCAUGAAUAUUAUAUACUUAGCUUGUUUUCCUCCAAAAUGACAUAAUUGGAAUAUUUUUGUUGAUCGGGUGGAUUUACAUGUGAUAGUUGUCUCGCCACUGUGAGGUCUGCUGUGCGAAGACCUGCACGUGCGUUGUACGAGCUCCGCCCCUGCAUUCGUGGGUCAGUACAAAUUUCAUCUCCUCCCCGUCCCUUCAUUUACUGUGGCUCGGUUUCCGGAUGAAACUUUCUAGAUUUAGGUAAUUCAAUUAAUUUAUCAGUAUGCGUGACCAGUAUGCGUCUCCCGUUCGAAAGGGCGACAUCUGUAAAUAUGCAUGUCUUUGCAUAUUUAUAACCGCCAUCCUUUCGAAUUGUCCAACAUUAUCCAUGGACAGCCCGAGUAUGUGUAGAUUGGGUUCGUUUUCCCGUAUGCUGUGCUCUGGAUCCGAUGCGGAAUUCCGUCAGUGCCUCCCUGUUGUUCUCCGGAUGCACAUGCUCUCUGUUUAUUGCGAAGACGUGUAUCAGGAGAACAGCGGGGAGGUGCUGUCGAAAUUUUUCGUUGGAUCCGGAGCAGAGCAUGGGAAAACGAACCGAAUCUACACAUACUCGGGUGGGAUUAGGACCUAUCUUUACCUAUUAGCAUGUAGGUUGCCUGGACGUAAUAAAAAUGGCGAACCUGAUUAACCGAUGAAUAAAAAUGCUAAAUUAUAUAUAAAUAUAUUUCUUCUGUCUUUAGUAGCUACGCAAGAUGAGUGAUCGUGCGUGGAUGUAUAUCGGUCACCCUAGUCAGAAAGAGAUGACGAAAGAAUGAUUUUUAAAAACAAAGGAAUUUUUGAAAGCCGCAUUCGCAAAUGGCCAGGAAAGAAACUAUUGCCCCUGUCCUGGAUGCGACAACUAUAAAAAGACGACAGAGGCUGUAAUGAUUAAACACGUGCAGAGGAGGGGUUUUAAGCCUAAUUAUACGGUGUGGACAUUUCAUGGUGAGUCUAUACAACGCACAAGAGCUGAGGUGGUCCGUCGUCGCACGGACGAGCAUGGUACCGAGAUCAAAGACAUGGUGCAAGACUUUGAUGAUGCUCGGGAUUCGGAAGAUGAGAUGGAGGAAUCUGCAAAGGCCUUUUAUGAAAUGUUGGAGUCUUCAAAACGUCCUCUCCAUGAGCACACUGAGCUCUGUCAGCUGGAUGCAAUUGCACAAGUAAUGGCUCUGAAGGCUCAGUUGAACUUGGGAAGAGAAUGCUACGACGCGAUGAUGACACUAUUUGGACGUUUCCUACCCAAAGGCCAUGUCAUGCCUGCAAACCUGUACCAGUCGGACAAAAUACUUCGUGUACUUAAGAUGCCCUAUGAGAAGAUAGAUGCAUGUGAGAAAGGAUGUGUCUUAUUUAGGAAGGAGUAUGCACACUUGGACUAUUGUCCCAAUUGCGAUUCUUGCAGGUAUCUUGUGGUAGAAAACGAUAUGGGUGAGAAGAGGCAGACCAAAAUCGCAGUUAGUGUUCUUCGGUAUAUGCCAAUCGUACCAAGACUUCAACAUCUUUUCAUGGUCGAAGAGACAGCCAGACAGAUGACAUGGCACAAAUUGGGCAAAAGAACCGAACUAGAUGCGGAUGGGAAUAAGAUGAUGGUACACACAUCGGAUGGGGAAGCGUGGAAACAUUUCGAUGGAUUGCAUCAGGAUAAAGCGGCAGAUCCAAGGAAUCCUCGAGUCUGCGCCACCACGGAUGGUUUUAAUCCCUUCGGCAUGACGGCAACCCAAUACAGUUGUUGGCCUAUAUUUGUCAUUCCACUCAAUCUCCCCCCGGGCAGAUUAUGCAAAGAAAGAACAUAUUUCUGACGUUGAUAAUUGCAGGACCCAAUUAUCCAGGGAAGAAUAUGAAUGUGUACCUGCAACCGCUUAAGGAUGAAUUGGAAGAAGCUUGGGAAAAUGGGGUCAAGACAUACGAUGCCGCUAGAAAAGAAAACUUCAAAAUGCAUGUGUGGUACAUGUACUCUAUGCAUGACUUGCCAGCGUAUGCGCUAUUCUCUGGAUGGUGUGUGCAUGGAAGGUUCCCGUGCCCCCAAUGCAAGGCAGCUCUUCAGUUUCAUUGGUUGCAGGAGGGUCGGAAGUAUUCUUGCUUUGACUUGCAUAGACAGUUCCUGGAUCCUGACCAUCAGUUCAGAAAAGACAAGAAGAACUUUACCAAAGGUAAAGUUGUCAAAAACUUGGCACCACCUGCGUUCACAGGCCAACAGAUCCUGGAUCAGUUAAACGCCCUCGACCCUGAUCCAGAGCGUCCAGGGUAUUUCAAGGGGUAUAAUUCAAAACACGCGUGGACUCACAAGCCAUGCUUCUGGGAUCUGCCUUACUUCAAAGACCUCCUUCUUCCACACAAUAUCGACAUGAUGCACACUGAAAAGAAUAUCGGAGAGGCUAUUUUUGGUACAUUGUUCAACAUAGAUGGGAAGACAAAGGAUAAUAUUAAGGCUAGAGUCGAUCAAGAGACACUAUGUCAUAGACCGUUACAAAACAUGCGAGAAGGCAAAGGAAAGCAGAAGUGGUCGAAGCCAAAGGCGUGGUUCAAUCUUGGAAGGCCAACUAUGAGGGAAAUUAUCUUGUGGGUCAAAAUACACUUGAUGUUCCCCGAUGGGUAUGCAGCGAAUCUAAAGAGGGGAGCGAGUCUUGAAAAAUUAAAAAUCUUUGGUCUCAAGAGUCAUGAUUGGCACAUAUGGCUAGAGCGGGUAAUGCCGGUGAUGUUACGUGGCUUUAUUCCUGAGGAUAAAUGGCUAGUACUGGCGGAGCUGAGCUAUUUCUUCCGUGUUCUUUGUGCGAAAGAAUUGUCGCCUGGCGUGGUAGAAGACAUGGAGGAGUUUGCACCGGAGUUGUUGUGCAAGUUAGAGAAGAUCUUUCCACCGGGCUUCUUUAAUCCAAUGCAGCAUUUGAUUUUACAUCUACCGACCGAGGCAAGAUUGGGUGGGCCCGUGCAAGAUCGUUGGUGCUAUGCAACUGAGAGGAUGCAAAAGACCCUUCGAGCUAAAUGUAAAAAUAAGCGUAGAAUUGAAGCAUCGAUGGCUGAGGCAUUCAUUACUGAGGAGGUGGCAAACUUUGUGACAGCACACUACGAAGCCAAAAAUCAUCAUUUGCAUAAUCCAAAGCCUCGGCACAAUGAUGGAGACCCUAAAAAAGGUGGGUCCAACCUCAGCCUACUCAAAGGGAAGCUCGCACCAGCCGGUGCUUCGAAACCAAUAACGUUGGAUAUCGAAGAAUGGCAGACAUUUCAUUGUAUAUCUUCAACAACCUAACCGAACUGCGGCCGUACAUCGAGUGAGUUCUCGGCACAUUUUCCCGUAACUUCUAAUUCAUUUGAACUACUCUUAUUCCCGGAUAUUUCAAACAGCCGUUACGUCGUCAAAUUCUCGGAUGGAGCGGUGAUCGAAAAUGAUUCCGUCGAAGAGUAUGAGCUUCUGUCAAAGACAGGAGGCGGCUAUCCCGGUUUCAUCUCUUGGUUCAAACAAACGGUAAUUAUCAAUAAUGGACCAUUUCAUUCUUGGUCUAACUUGCGGCUAAUGCAACAACCGUUUCGUAUUAAACUUGUAGGCUCAUUCAAAGUCUAUGGACGCCGAAUUGAGACAAGUCGCUAAUGGUUUUGACUAUAAGGUCCGUUCAUUUGAGAAAUACAACAUCAACGGAUAUCUCUUUCGUACCUUUGGCAAAGAGCUAUCUAUGCCCGACCGGAAAUCUACAAAUUGUGGUGUCUCUGCUAUCGGCGAAGGUGUUAUCGAGUAUUAUGGAAGAGUUGAAGCAAUUUAUGAACUUCCAUUCUAUGGUGAAAACCCACCGAACGUCGUAGUCUUCAAAUGUUAUUGGUUCCAGCCGAAAAAGACUAGAAGGACUCAUGAACAUAUAGGACUAGUCGAAAUCAAUCCAAACACCCAUUUAGAUGUUCCCGAUGUCUAUAUUACGGCUCAACAGGCGACCCAAGUUUUCUAUCUACCGUGGGCAUGCCAAACGGAUAAGAAUCUGGAAGGUUGGUAUGUUGUUUAUGAAGUGCCGCCACAUGUCAGACCACCUCUCCCAAAUGAACAGGAUUAUGAACCUCACAUUGACCCACACACAUAUGAUGGAGAAUUCUUCCAAGAAACACGUCUUUCCAAGAAACGUUUCAACAACCGCCGUGCUUCAUCCAAGAACAUGGAAGUAGACAGCGACAAUGAAUCCGACUCCAGCCCUCAGCCGGAACCAGAAGACCUGGAACUCGUAAAGGUUACUGAUGCGGAUGACCUGUCAAUGCUUCAACGAUUAAAGGAAGGCCUUUCACAACUUCACGCCAUUGAACCCGAUGAGCACGUCAUUCAUGAAGACAUGCGUGAUAGUGAUGAUGAUGAUGCAUUUAUUGAUGAUGAUUAUUAGUUUGUAAGAUUCACAACUUAAAUUAUAUAUUUUUUAAUCUUUAUUAUUCAUGUACAUAUUAUUAUUCAUGUCAGUCAUUCAAUUUUUGUAUGUUGUACUAAUUUCUUUUAAUCUUUAUCAUGGCAGGUGUUGAAAGAUGGUGGGCGCGGGUCCAGAGCGCUCGACGGGUUCUUCCCAGGCGCCCCGCACGAGGGGUGGUACUUCCCUUCCACCCCUAUCUCUCUGUAGAGCCUUGGCAGACAUUCUUUCGACACCAGCCGGGGGUUCUUCUUCGUCGGCGGCAUUGCCCACUGGGAGAGGUGCUGGUCGGGUAGGGAUGAAGGGGAAGGGUACAGGGAGAGGUGGUGGCCGCGGAAGAUCCAGGAGGACUGUUGAGCCGUCCUUGCCACCACCACCAGCUCAUUCACCCGAGCAUAGGACUAGUAUGGUCGACCCGUUUGCGGAGGAGGCUACGGGGACUCCGGUCCAGUAGCCUGGUGUUCACGGGCAUUCUCCCAUGAGACUCCGGUCCAGGAGCAGCCUCGGGUCGAGGUGCAUUCGGCCCAGGAGCAGCCGGAGGAGACUAUGGUUCCGGAGGCUUCACCCGACGUGGAGAGGCCCGGAUGGGAGCCUUGGCCGGAUCGUACCGAGUUGCCGGAUUGGACCGAGGGUCCGGGUGGCUCAGGGGGCGGGGAUGGCGGGGAUGAGCUUACGGAUAGUGAGGGCGAUGUGCAGGUGGACGGGGCCACCGUGUACAAGCGUGGUAGUACACGUCUCCCGGUCGCCCCGGCUACCCGCGAGCAGAGGCGGGUGAUUAAACCUGAAGGACAUAGGUAAGUACAUUUACCCUUUUUUUAGCUUUUGCCUUCAAGUUUGUUCAAAUAUCUAAUGCGCUGACCUUAUCAUACUGCAGGGGAUGGGUACACCCUCUUGGAGUCCGCAGGCCGAACUCCGUCCUUGGUGUGCUUUGCCGGACAAAUUUCCCGGGGUUUGUCACGUUGCCUCGUGAGGGUCAGGUUCCUACACUAGGAUUUACCUGGGAGCACUACCAGGCUGCACAGGCCCCGCCGGAGGAGAUUAUAGAUGGUGUCUUGUGCCACACGAGGGCCGAGAUGGUGAUCAACCGCUUUUGGGUAAAUUAUCCUUUUACAGAAUCUAAAAUUAACAAUAUACAUAAUUAUUGUACUAAUCGGUGUUUUCACGUUUGAUUGCAGACCUUCUAUAGGUGUGAGGAUGGAUAUGAGGAGGAGGCGGCCAGGGUUCUCGAGGUCGAGUGUAGGCGGUUACUACAGAACUUGCGCCACGAGGCUCGGCCGCAGGCUAUUCGAGAUUACUACGCCACGCGUGGUAUUAAGAAGCAGAAGAAGGAUUGCUGCGGAAAGUUUCUGAAGAAGGAGAAAUACAUGAAGGUAAUUACCUAUUCUUAAGUCCUUCUACGUAGUUUUCUUGAUUUCAUUCAUAGGCGUAGCGCUGAAAAUUCUUUCUAAUAACUUACAGGUGCCCCCGAGAUGGUGUGCGGAUAAGAUGGAUUGUUGGGAGGCGUUGGUUGAUGAGUGGUGCACAGGCAGCUGGCGAGCCGUCCACGAGAAUGCGAAGGAUCGGCGUAGCCAAAUGGUUGGUGUGCCACACCAUCAAGGCAGCGCCAACUUACUUCAGUUUGGACGAAACUGCGUAUGUGAUUUGCUUCAUGAUUCAUGUAAUUCAUUCUUGAUGCUAAUAUUUUGUUCCUCUCUUUUAGGCGCAUCACAAUAAGACUGAGAUGCCACACUUGUACGACCUUUAUGGCAUGGCCCAUACUGCCUCGUACAAGAAGGCGAAGGCAUUCUCUGAGUCUGACCUGGAUGAUCCCAAUAACUUCACCAACAUAUCAUCCCACCAGAAGCUCAUGGCAUACAGGGACGCGGGGAAGGCUACGAAAGGGGAUGACUUUUACCCUAGCCAGGAACCUUUGGAUCCAGAGCUGGUGAUGAUAUCUGGUGGCGGGAGGCCCCAUGGCUCGAUAGCCAUUGGAGAUGGGAUAAUACGUUGUCCACUCACUCUUCCGGAGAUCAAGGCGCGCCAGUCGAGCAGAUGUCCUGAGAUAACGUCUCGUCCACGGCCAGUCGAACUUGCAAUCGAGGUUAGUUGUACGGACUAAGAACACUUUCAUCCAUUUCAUUAUGUGUGUCACCAUAGAUCAUUACUGUGGUAACGAGGAAUGGUGUUUCAGGCUGCUCUUCAGAAAGAGAGAGCGGCAAACCAGGCUGCUCUUGAGAAAGAGAGAUUGGCAAGCCAGGCUGCUCUUCAGGCUGCUCUUGAUGAGAGGGACCAGACCACGGCACGAUUGCUUGAGGAGGAGAGGGCCCGGAAUGAAGCGGGUCAACGGGCCCUGUACGAGAUUUUUGUGGUAUGUUUUUUUUCACAUUAGCCAAAUCAUGUGUGUAAUGUCUGUUUCAAUACUAACUAAUACGACCCACUCUUCAGGGUCUGUGCGAGAAGAGCNNNNNNNNNNNNNNNNNNNNNNNNNNNNNNNNNNNNNNNNNNNNNNNNNNNNNNNNNNNNNNNNNAGCGGUCAAGUCCCUCCGCCGAUGCCCGUCUUCUCUUCGAUUGGCACGGUGAGUUUCAUUAUAAACUAGUAUUAAUAAUUGAGUGUCAUCAUGCUAACUGACACAUUGCAAAAUAUCUUUUCUGCAGAAUAACUCCCGAGCGGCAUCGCACGACCCUUCUCCAGGGCAACCGUCUCCAAACGAAGCCGGCGCGAGCAACCGUGGUGUUUCUCCUCCUUGAUGACCACUACGGUAAGUUUCUCCUCCAAACUUAGCUUGUUUUCAUCUAAAAUGAGAUAAUUAGCCCAUCUAUCUCCAAGAAGACAUAAUUAGGUAAUUUAGCUCCAACAAGAGUAGAAGAAAUAGGAAAAAUGAAAAGAAAGAAGAAGAAGAAGAAGAAGAAGAAGAAGAGAAGAAGGAGAAGGAGGAGAAGGAGGAGGAGGAGGAGGAGAAGGAGGAGAAGGCCAAGGACCUUCUACUCCUUCUCCUCCUCCUCCUUCUCCUCCUUCUCCUUGAUUUCUUCUUCUUCUCCUCCUCCUCCUCUUUCUUCUCCUCUUUCAUAUUAUCCUUGCUUUAAUUUCCCCAACAAUGACAUAAUUAAUAUUAUAUACUUAGUUAGUUUUCCUCUAAAAUGGGAUAAUUAGCCCAUUUAGCUCAAAAAGACAUAAUUAGGUAAUUUAGCUCCAACAAGAGGAGAAGAGGAGAAGAAAUAGGCAAAAUGAAAAGAAAGAAGAAGAAGAAGAAGAAGAAGAAGAAGAAGAAGAAAAGGAGAAGGAGGAGGAGAAGGCCAAGGACCUUCUAUCCUUCUCCUCCUCCUCCNNNNNNNNNNNNNNNNNNNNNNNNNNNNNNNNNNNNNNNNNNNNNNNNNNNNNNNNNNNNNNNNNNNNNNNNNNNNNNNNNNNNNNNNNNNNNNNNNNNNUAUUUUUUGAGCUAAAUGGGCUAAUUAUGUCAUUUUAGAGGAAAACAAGCUAAGUAUAUAAUAUUCAUGAGCUAACCAAGGUUCUUAUGCCAUUUUGAGCUUAUUAUGGCAUUUUGGAGCUAAAUGGGCUAAUUAUGUUAUUGUUUGGUUAAUUAAAGCAAGGAUAAUAUGAAAGAGGAGAAGAAAGAGGAGGAGGAGGAGAAUAAGAAGAAAUCAAGAAGAAGGAGUAGGAGGAGGAGAAGGAUGAGGAGGAGAAGGAUAGAAGGUCCUUGGCCUUCUCCUCCUCCUCCUUCUCCUUCUUCUUCUUCUUCUCUUCUUCUUCUUCUUCUUUCUUUUGAUUUUGCCUAUUUCUUCUCCUCUUCUCCUCUUGUUGGAGCUAAAUUACCAAAUUAUGUCUUUUUUGAGCUAAAUGGGCUAAUUAUCCCAUUUUAGAGGAAAACAAGCUAAGUAUAUAAUAUUAAUGAGCUAACCAAGGUUCUUAUGCCAUUUUGAGCUUAUUAUGGUAUUUUGGAGCUAAAUGGGCUAAUUAUGUCAUUGUUGGGUUAAUUAAAGCAAGGAUAAUAUGAAAGAGGAGAAGAAAGAGGAGGAGGAGGAGAAGAAGAAGAAAUCAAGAAGAAGGAGGAGGAGGAGGAGAAGGAGGAGGAGGAGAAGGAUAGAAGGUCCUUGGCGUUCUCCUCCUCCUCCUCCUUCUCCUUCUUCUCUUCUUCUUCUUCUUCUUCUUCUUCUUCUUCUUCUUUCUUUUCUAUUUUGCCUAUUUCUUCUCCUCUUCUCCUCUUGUUGGAGCUAAAUUACCUAAUUAUGUUCUUUUUUGAGCUAAAUGGGCUAAUUAUGUCAUUUUAGAGGAAAACAAGCUAAGUAUAUAAUAUUCAUGAGCUAACCAAGGUUCUUAUGCCAUUUUGAGCUUAUUAUGACAUUUUGGAGCUAAAUGGGCUAAUUAUGUUAUUGUUGGGUUAAUUAAAGCAAGGAUAAUAUGAAAGAGGAGAAGAAAGAGGAGGAGGAGGAGAAUAAGAAGAAAUCAAGAAGAAGGAGUAGGAGGAGGAGAAGGAGGAGGAGGAGAAGGAUAGAAGGUCCUUGGCCUUCUCCUCCUCCUCCUYCUCCUUCUCCUUCUUCUUCUUCUUCUUCUUCUUCUUCUUCUUCUUCUUCUUCUUCUUUCUUUUCAUUUUGCCUAUUUCUUCUCCUCUUCUCCUCUUGUUGGAGCUAAAUUACCUAAUUAUGUCUUUUUUGAGCUAAAUGGGCUAAUUAUCCCAUUUUAGAGGAAAACAAGCUAAGUAUAUAGUAUUAAUGAGCUAACCAAGGUUCUUAUGCCAUUUUGAGCUUAUUAUGGUAUUUUGGAGCUAAAUGGGCUAAUUAUGUCAUUGUUGGGUUAAUUAAAGCAAGGAUAAUAUGAAAGAGGAGAAGAAUGGCCAUUUUUUAGCUAAAUGGGCUAAUUACCUCAUUGUUGGGGAAAAUAAGGUAAGGAGAAUAAGAUAGAGGAGAAGAAAGAGGAGGAGGAGAAGAAGAAGAAGAAAUCAAGAAGAAGGAGAAGGAGGAGGAGGAGAAGAAGGAGGAAAAGAAGGAGAAGGAGGAGAAUGUAUUCUUUUUCUCUUCUUCUCUUCUUCAUCUCUUCUUAUUUUCUUCUUCUUUUCUUCUUCUCCUUCUUAUUUUUGUCNNNNNNNNNNNNNNNNNNNNNNNNNNNNNNNNNNNNNNNNNNNNNNNNNNNNNNNNNNNNNNNNNNNNNNNNNNNNNNNNNNNNNNNNNNNNNNNNNNNNGUAACCUUUACCUGUACCUGCAACUGGUGUUGUAGUAAUCUGUGAGCCACACGGGACUCAGCAAUCUCAUUUCCAAAGGUAUCAAGACUAGCAAAGCUUAAUGGGUAAGGUAUGGUUAAGUGGUGAGGUUGCAGCAGCGGCUAAGCAUUUAUUUGGUGGCUAACUUACGAGUACAAGAAAUAAGAGGGGGAAGAUCUACGCAAAACGGACGUGAACUACUGAUGAUCAAAUAAAUGAUCCUGAACACCUACCUACGUCAGACAUAACCCCACCGUGUCCUCGAUCGGAGAAGGAACUCACGAAAGAGACAAUCACGGUUACGCACACAGUUGGCAUAUUUUAAUUAAAUUAACUUCAAGUUAUCUAGAACCAGUGUUAAACAAAGCUUCCACGUUGCCACAUAGCCGCGGGCACGGCUUUUCGAAAAGAUUUAACCCUGCAGGGGUGCUCCAACUAGUCCAUCACAAAUUGCCACAAGCCGCAUAGAAAUCCUCAAUCACGAAGCUCGCGAUCUCGUCGGAUUCCCUAGUGGAAAACCUCAACUCACUACAGGAAUCAGCUUCUUUGCCGUCUGCCAUCACAGACGGCAAAGACAAUAUCCCGGACGGCAAAGACAAUAUCACAGACGACAAAGAUUCUCACGGCCGGCAAAAUUUCUACGUCAGCCUACAACGGCAUAGGACCUUCUUUGCCGUCUGCCCCCCAAAGAGGACGGCAAAGCUCUUUGCCGUCAGCUUUCAUUAGGAGCAGUCGGCAAAGUGCUCGAGACGGUAGCCGACAGCUGUUGCCUCCGUUAGGGGUUAACGGAGGCUUUGCCGUCUGCCUCCCCGUCCAUCUUUGCCGUCUGCCUCCUCGUCCAUCUUUGCCGUCUGCCUUCUCUUCCCCUCCUCUCCCCCUCCAUCUUUGCCGUCUGCCUCCCUGUCCAUCUUUGCCGUCUGCCAGCUCCUCCCCUCCCCCUCUCUCUACUCUUUGCCGUCUGCCUCUUCCUCCCCCCUCCCUGUUCCCUCUUCUUUGCCGUCUGCCCAUCCUGGAGGCUGACGGCAAAGAGACUACAUAGACACCCCAGAAUGCACAGCUGGGUGCCAUGUGGCACCUUUGCCGUCUGCCAACUGAUGGCACAGGUCUUUGCCAUCAGCUGUUAGACGGCAAAGAGACUAUAUAGUYCCCGUUUUUUUUUGUUUUAUAUUAUUUCUACAACACACACACACACACACACACACACACACACACAUAUAUAUAUAUAUAUAUAUAUAUAUAUUUGACAGCAAAUUUAUAUAAUUCACCACACAUAUAUGAUAUAUAGUUCACCACACAUAUACUUGCCAACACAUAUACAUAUAAUUCACCACACAUAUAUGAUUCACCAAUGUACAUCCCCAUAUAUCCAAAGAACCAACAUACCAAGUAUUGCACUGUUUAUCCAUAUAUACAUAUACAUAUAGUUUGACAUUGUUCAUCAACUCAAAUGAAAACUAGAUGAUAUACAUAUAAAGUUCAUCCAUCGACAUUGUUCAACUCCAUGAAUGCCAGCUUCCAUGCAUGUAGUAUAUCCAAUCUGCAAUAAUGUGAAUAAUAAAGUUAGAAGAAGAACAAAAUAUGAUGUUUUUCAGCUAAUUAUGUCAUUUUUAGCGGAAAACAAGCUAAGUAUAUGUGUGGUGAACUAUAUAUCAUUUGUUGGAGCUAAAUUACCUAAUUAUGUCUUUUUGAGCUAAAUGGGCUAAUUAUGUCAUUUUAGAGGAAAACAAGCUAAGUAUAUAAUAUUCAUGAGCUAACCAAGGUUCUUAUGCCAUUUUGAGCUUAUUAUGGCAUUUUGGAGCUAAAUGGGCUAAUUAUGUCAUUGUUGGGUUAAUUAAAGCAAGGAUAAUAUGAAAGAGGAGAAGAAAGAGGAGGAGGAGGAGAAGAAGAAGAAAUCAAGAAGAAGGAGGAGGAGGAGGAGAAGGAGGAGGAGGAGAAGGAUAGAAGGUCCUUGGCCUUCUCNNNNNNNNNNNNNNNNNNNNNNNNNNNNNNNNNNNNNNNNNNNNNNNNNNNNNNNNNNNNNNNNNNNNNNNNNNNNNNNNNNNNNNNNNNNNNNNNNNNNCGGUUAGUGCCGUCCGUUCGGCACUAGAUCGUGGGAUUGAUCGCGGGACGGUUCGCGGGGCGGAUCGAGGGACGUGAGGACGUUCCACUACAUCAACCGCGUUCACUAACGCUUCUGCUGUACGGUCUACAAGGGUACGUAGAUCACUCAUCCCCUCUCGUAGAUGGACAUCACCAUGAUAGGUCUUCGUGCGCGUAGGAAAUUUUUUGUUUCCCAUGCGACGUUCCCCAACAGUGGCAUCAUGAGCUAGGUUCAUGCGUAGAUGUCUUCUCGAGUAGAACACAAAAGUUUUUGUGGGCGGUGAUGUGCGUUUUGCUGCCCUCCUUAGUCUUUUCUUGAUUCCGCGGUAUUGGUGGAUCGAAGCGGCUCGGACCGACAUUACUCGUACGCUUACGAGAGACUGGUUUCAUCGCUACGAGUAACUCCGUUGCUCAAAGAUGACUGGCGGGUGUCAGUUUCUCCAACUUUAGUUGAAUCGGAAUUGACCGAGGAGGUCCUUGGAUGAGGUUAAAUAGCAAUUCAUAUAUCUCCGUUGUGGUGUUUGGGUAAGUAAGAUGCGAUCCUACUAGAUACCCAUGGUCACCACGUAAAACAUGCAACAACAAAAUUAGAGGACGUCUAACUUGUUUUUGCAGGGUAUGCUUGUGAUGUGAUAUGGCCAACGAUGUGAUGUGAUAUAUUGGAUGUAUGAGAUGAUCAUGUUGUAAUAGAAAAUAUCGAUUUGCACGUCGAUGGUACGGCAACCGGCAGGAGCCAUAGGGUUGUCUUUAUACUAACGUUUGUGCUUGCAGAUGCGUUUACUAUUUUGCUAGGAUGUAGCUUUAGUAGUAAUAGCAUGAGUAGCACGACAACCCCGAUGGCAACACGUUGAUGGAGAUCAUGGUGUGGCGCCGGUGACAAGAAGAUCGUGCCGGUGCUUUGGUGAUGGAGAUCAAGAAGCACGCGAUGAUGGCCAUAUCAUGUCACUUAUGAAUUGCAUGUGAUGUUAAUCCUUUUAUGCACCUUAUUUUGCUUAGAACGACGGUAGCAUUAUGAGGUGAUCUCUCACUAAAAUAUCGAGACGAAAUUGUGUUCUCCCCGACUGUGCACCGUUGCUACAGUUCGUCGUUUCGAGACACCACCUGAUGAUCGGGUGUGANNNNNNNNNNNNNNNNNNNNNNNNNNNNNNNNNNNNNNNNNNNNNNNNNNNNNNNNNNNNNNNNNNNNNNNNNNNNNNNNNNNNNNNNNNNNNNNNNNNNGCUCGGGUACGGCCUCACCACCGAGGGGACCUCGCAAGGGGACGGAGCAGCGCUACACAGCAGCAUGUGAUGGCCGUCAAGAGCGCGCAGAGCGCACAUGAACCGUUGACCUUGCUUGCUUCCGGAGCGCCAUGGCUCUACCGUGGUGCUGGGCGAGCUACCAUUCUUUAUAUUGCAAAGUUUACCAUGGUGGUAAUAUUCAUCACCGCACUAUUCGUCAAACGGAGUGGCGUAGUAAAUGUAUCCUCACAAUUAUAAUGAUAUUUUACUAGCAAAAUGACCCGUGCGUUGCCACGAAAAAAAAACAUAAUGUUCAAUAUGGUGACCACAUUAUGUUCACAUAUCAACGCUUGAUUCUAAAAUUUUAU
rnacentral:lncRNA from 1 species